CAGUCCUCAGAACUCAGUACAUUCCGUCAGUCAUUGGAAUCCAGUAAACUUAGUUUAGCUCUGCUAAACAAUACCACUAGUAUCAGUCCAGUUAAUCAGUAUCAGUUCAGCUAAUCANNNNNNNNNNNNNNNNNNNNNNNNNNNNNNNNNNNNNNNNNNNNNNNNNNNNNNNNNNNNNNNNNNNNNNNNNNNNNNNNNNNNNNNNNNNNNNNNGCCAGUUCAGGGUUUGAUUCUUAGUAGUCAUCCUUGUGUUCCUGAACUACGUAGCCAGCGUAGGUUGAGACAUCUUAACCCAUCAGAUUAGGGUUGAUGAGGUGGCUUAACCCAUCAGUUUAGGGUUCUCAUCGUUCUCAUUGAGUACCUGCCAGUAUAGGGUUUUCACAGCUGUCCUUACCAGUGGCGCGUUAUUGACACCCCUCCAGUCGGGGCAGAGAUUGGACCCCAACUUAGCUAUUGUAGCGUAUUCGGGGCAUGUCGGUUAGAUAAAUACUUCCCAUAUUUUUAGUUACAGAUUUCAGGACUGUCAGCUAUAGCUACCCAGUCUCAGUAAAGAACUCAUAUAGCUCUUCUGAUUUCAGUAUAUCCGGGCUAUCAGAUACAGUCAACUCAGAAAUAGAAUGGAACUCUGAUAGUUUUCUUCAGAUUUAUGGACUGUGAGAUAUAGUCACUUAUUCUAUCAAUUACAACAGUUAUCAGAACUCAUGCUAUCAGUACUCAGCUUCAAGACUAUCAGAUACAGUCAAUCAGACCAGUUCUUCAUAAUUCAAACUGUCAGAAACAAUCAUUUCUUUAUCAGUAAUGCAAUAUCAGUCUCUUAGUAUAUUAGUAAUAGAGUAUCAGACCCAUCAUUUAUUAGUGAUUUAUAUAUCAAUAUCAGUAAACUCAGUCUUUCAAAAUCUCAUUAUCAAUACACUCAUGUUGUCAGUAUUUAGACUCAGUAGUCCGUAUCUCCACGAGUUCAGUUCCAGUUACGUAUGUAUGUAUGUACUCUCACGUUCAUAUCAGACAGUAUUGUCCAUGCAUAUAACCCUUUGCAUUUAGCCUACCUCACUCAUAUACUCAGUACAUUUAGGCGUACUAACGCAUUUGCGCUAUAAUGCUUUCUCUUAUGUUACACCAUAGGUUCAGAGGCAUGAGCUCCAAAUCAGUAGUAGAUUCCAGGAUCAGCAGUCAGAGUUAGAUGUGAGUCCUCAUCCUUCGAGGACAUGAUGAUUUCAUUUCUAUUUCAAUUUUUACUUUAUUUCUGUAGUUGGAGUUAGUUGGGGACAUGUCCCAUCAACUCCUUAUUCAGUUCAGUUAGAGGCUUUUGGACUAGAUGUCAGAUUAGAUGUUCAGACUUCAGUAUUUAUGUUUCUUUUUGGUAUUGUUAUACCAUAUUUUUCAAAUAUGUAUUAGUAUUGAACCUUAUGGCCUUACAGUUUAUGUUUUUGCAUAUUUUAUGAGAUAUUAUGCAGUUUACAGGUACAGAUAUCAGUCAUGGAUUAGCUUGUGAUCCUUCGAGAUUAUGAGCAUCAUAUAGCAUUUCGGUUCAGAAAAUUGGGGUGUUACAUUGAGAGUACUGAUAAGCUGAUCACGCAUAUCUGAUGCAUGAAUAUAUGACUGAACUAACUCAUGAACAUGUGACUAAACAUGUAAGGGUAAAGAUACCAAGUUUGAAAUGAAAACUGAGCAUGGAACUGAAUACCAUAUUUGUAUCUAAAACCCGAACAUGAAACUGGAUAAGCUUGUGAAAAGCUAUUACCUUGGGAUAAGUCUGAGCUUAAUUGCUAAAUAUGCAUGAGCAAAAACAUAAGAACGUAACUGGGUCUAGAAUAUGAUACAUGAGCUAAAUAUAUUGAUCUAAACUAAGCCCCUAAAGUCAUGGCUCACGGCUAAGAUAAAAACUUGGGGGCCAACUUAUGAGUACCCCCUACUCCUAAACUGGAUUCAUUAUGAGAAAAAAGAAUGAGAUGUUCUUGUCAUGAAAGUCUAGCGAUUUAUAGUGUAUCUCCCCCUUGGGACACUAUGUCCCUCAAAGAAUACUGACUUGGCCGAGUCGCUGAGAAAACUGAAGCGAUGCACAAGGCAUGUACGAGUUAAGUCUUAACUGAAUAUCUGGGAUCUGAAACUAAGGCAUGAUACAUGAAUUGGACUGAUCUUGCACCUAUAUAGUUGGUUCAUCUUAAAAUGGUUACAUUCAUAAGGCUUAAAAUAGUAUGUCUAGAUAGAAGGGACGGAAACCCAAACCAUGCGAACUUGUCCAUCUGAUUGAUAGACUGACUUUCUAAUUUUACGUACUAACUCGUGAUGAAAACUUACAGUCAACUGGAGCCUUUCUUUAGAACUCUUUCUAUAGAUUUCUAAUGGCCUUAGGGCGUAAGGAAAUUUUGGCCUUAUCUAAACAAGACAGCUGAAUAAGAAAAUCAUCACAUGGCUAAAGUUUGGUAAGAUAAGUUGAGGCCUACGAACACCCUUUAAGAUAAAAUGACUAAGCCUCUUGCACUGCAAUUGAUAUUACUGAAAAGAGUCACAUGGGUGAUAAACACAAGUGCAUAAAUAUGCUAAAUUAUCUGAUUAACUGGGUAGCUGAUAGCUGAAUAUUAGACGUGUAAGACUGAACUGGACUUGGUCUGAAUAGCUGGACUGAGACUAUAAAGUAUUAUACACAAAAGGUAAUGACUGACUGGGUAACAUGAGGUAAUUGAGCAUGAAUUCGUGAAGACGGUAUUAUCUGAGAAUACAAAACCAAGGCUUAUAACAUGAUUUUGAAAUAGUCUGUAGACUUGUACACUAUGGUCAAGCAAACUUGAAACUGAACUGAGUUGUUGAUCUGAUUACUAAACUGAGACUGUGACUGAGACUAUAACUAAGAUGUAACUGAGACUUAUACUAGAGCUAAAUACUCAGUUCUGAUAAUUGAAAUUGUAACUGACAUGGUAACUAAGUUUUUGGAUAUCCAUGUAGUGAAGACCGAUAUAAGUCGAGAAUCAGAAUGUGUACUCUUACUCACACUCUAUACUUUCCCAACUUCUAAUUACAGCCUCUUUUUAGCCCUUUACUGGAACACUAACAUAAAAUUCAAGCCUAUCUUAUCACUAAACCCUUGUGUAAAAUAAGUAUGCAACAAUAUUGUCUUAAUAUAAAACAUCCACUCUCUCCCUUCUAAGCAACUGAUCAUCACUACACUAUUAUCUCAAAUAGACCACACAGAAGGUUUAAAUCAGGAGGACAUGAAGCAUGAAUGGACACUAACUGAACUUGACACUUGACUGAAACUUGAGAAAUAGAAUAUAAAUAUCAUGGAUUCACCAAGAGGUCUAAACUAAGGAUAUGCAAAACAUAGUCUAAAUUUAACUAAUCAGUAGAGGCAUAGCAUGAGCCAUGGAAGCUGAGUAUACUGUAAAGCAUAACAUAAGUACAUGAGUCAUGAGAUGCAUGACCGGAGUUUUGAGUUUUCUGCAUUCGUGGGACAUGAUUUGCAUUACUAAGGAGAAUAGAACUGAACUCCUUAUGCUGGGAACUGGAAUUAUACAUGAUUCUAUAGAAAUCGUAUGAAUAUAAGAUGUGUUCAUGGAACUGAGAUGUGAGGCCUGGAUAGGCAUCAUGCUGACUGAAGUACCAAACUUUACACUGAGAUAAGGAUGGUUUGGGAAUCAUCUUCCCUUACUGCUUUUCUAUAUGUACUGGCACUACUACUGGAAUCUGAGAGCCUAAAUUGGUCACUUGAUCUAUCAUCUCCCCCUUGGCUUUAAGCCAUCAUCAUAAGUCUGUGAAUACUUUACUAAAAUCUAAACUGAACUGUAAUCAUCAUGACAUACUUACACUCUGAUUGAUACAUGCAUUGCCUUACUAAACACAUCACCUGCUUUUGUUUCUUCAUAUACUACUAAUAUUGUAUCUUAUAAUUCACAUCCGCACCUUCAUACUUAAUUUUAGAUCAAUACUUUUAAAUUCUUGGUUGCACUGUUCAAGCCUAGUAUUCUACCUUGGUACAACUAUCUCCAUGAACACAUAAUCUGUUCAACCUGGACAAUUUUAUCCCAACGCUACCACUGCCAAACUCUUGAGUUCAUGCUUCUAACUCUAGGACAUAUGCUAUCAUAGAAUUUUGAGAAGGGAUCUGAUGACAUAUCUAAUUUUGGGUUCAUGAAUGAGUUCUCAUGAUUAUGAAUGAUAUUUGUACAACUUUGGAACAUAAUAGAACUGAUGGGAUACGUUUGAGCCUAUGGUCAAUCCCAUAAUUAUUUGCAGGGACUGUCUGAGAAAGCCCUAUCUCUAGGAAUUUGAGCUUUACUAUUUUUGUUACCUUGAGAAUAAGGUGAAGUUGACAUAAGUAAAGCAUAAGGAAAAUCUACAUAAGUUUAUUAGAGAACCUUUCUAUGGCACGAUCUGAGACAGGAAAAAAGGAAAACUAUUCCUAAAACAUCUUAUAGCCUCCUGCACAUAAGUGUGGUAGACAACACACCCAUGUACAAGACUCUACUAGAUGCAGCUUUUCAGACUUUCUAGGACACUAUUGAACCUUAGGCUCUGAUACCAAGUUUGUAACGCCCUAAAUCUGGUACCCAAAAUGGUACACGAUGUUCAUGACCCUGAAGGAUCACAAGUAAAACCAUGACUGAUAUCUGUAACUGAGCACUUAAUAAUAUUCUCUAAUUAUACGGAAUAUAAUCUGUAAGGCCAUAAGGUUCAAAACUAAACUAAUACUGAAUAUAAAAUAAUGUCUGUAAUGGGGUAUAACAAUACCCAAAACUGAAAUAAAUUGUCUAAAACAUGUUGUAGUCUUAAAUCCUCUAAACUAUCUGAAAACUAUGGAGUUGUGGGACAUGUGCCCAACUAACUCCGAACUACUAAAAUAAUAACGUAAUAAAAUAAUCAUGCUAUCCUUGAAUGAUGAGGACUUACUGCUAUUCGGGCUGCUGAAUGUCUGAUUUACUAAGGAUGCUCGAGAACUUAUGUUUCUAAACCUAUGGUAUAAAACACCAUAGCGCAAACACAUCAGUAUGUUAAAUGUACUGGUAUGCAAGUGAGGUAGGCUAAAUAUAAGGGUUCAUAUACAUGAACAAUAAUAACUGCAUGUAUAACAUGAACGUAAGAAUAUAUACAUGAAUCAUAACUGUAAUGGAGAUCGUGAUAACGCUGACUCGUGAAUUUUAAAAAUAUGGAUUUACUGAUAUCUGAGUACUAAUACUAGAAUAUUGAAUGACCGAGUCUACUGAAUAAUGAGACACUGAUGUUAAUUUUUUGAUAGAGGAAAGACUAUUUUUGACAGUUCUAAUUUUAAAGAACUGGUCUGGUUGACUGUAUCGGAUAGUCCUGAAACUAAAUACUGAUAACAUAAAUUUUAUAUAAUUAAUAUACUAUUAACUGAGUUCCUAAUAAUAUGAUUAUUGAGUAUGAGUACUGAUAACAUGAGUGACUGUAUCUGACAGUCCUGAUACUAAUGGAACUAGCUGAUUUUUGUACUGUAUCUGACAAUCCUAAAUUUUGUAAAACUAUCUAAGUUCUAUUACUGAGACUGAAUGACUAUAUCUGAUAGUCCUAAUUCUGUAACUGAAAUUAUGGAAAGUAGUUAUCUAACUGACAUUCCCCUAAUAUUCUAUUAUGGUUGAGUUGGGGUCCAAUCUGUAAACCUAAUUGGAAGGGUGUCAAUACCGCCCCACUGGUAAGGACAAUCUGUAAGUAACCUCAUAUAAUAGGUAACUCUAGUGAGAAUGGCGGGAACCCUCAUAUAACAGGUUAAGCCACCUCAUCUACCCUCAUAUAGCAGGCAAUGUUGUCUUAACCUAUGCUGGCUACGUAAUUCUAUAAUACAAGGAUUACUUCUAAGGAUUGCACCCUCAUAUAAUAGGUGAGUUCCCAUCCUUAGGUUCACUCAGUGCUAAUUCUUACUCCCAUAUGAAUAGACACUGAUCAUGGAUUACUGAAAUGAAUAGGACUGAAUUAACUGAAUUAAACUGAUACUAAUGGUAUCGUUUAGUGGAGCUAAACUAGGUUCACUGAGUUUUGUUGCUUGAUGGGAUGCUACUAAGAUCUGAGGACUGGCUGGGAGUACUAAAGUUACUGAGAUUUACUAGGAAUACUAAGGUUAUCGAGAUUGCUGAGAUCACUGAGAUUACUGAACUAUUGAGAUUACUGAGAUUUUUGAGUUUUUUCUGAGUCACAUGACUGACUGUGUUCUAUGGAUCAUGACUUGACUGAGAGUAUCAUGAAAAUAUGACAUAGCUCUAGGCACACAGCUUAAUUUUCGGGUACAAGUACCCCGAGGACUCGAUAGAAUAAACUUGACAAGGCUUGACACUUUUGAUCACAUGACCAAUAUCAAUAAUUAUUAGUACAUAAAUUUGGGGAUUUCAUGAAGCACACGGUUAUCAUAGUCUUGUACAUGGAUAGUAAUGCAUAUAAACAUGGCAUAAUUUCAUGCUUCAAAUCUUACGAACAUCCCAUCAAGCAAUCACAAUGCAUAGGUUUAGCAUGGGAAUCAUCUUAAUCGAAUAUGUAUAGCAUAACUUAAGAGACAUGACAUAAUAUUGACACAUGAAAACUAGGUACUUGACCAUUAUUUAUUCAUUGGGGCGUAUUAUCAAACACCUUGCAUGCACACAUAGAGAAUAGGUAUGAUCAUCAAUUUAAUACCACAUGGUUCCACAAUUUAACUCAAUUGCAUAAAUUUCAACCCUAUAUUAACAUAAUUUCAUGAAAAAAUUAUAAAGAUACAAUCUUGGCAAUCAUACAACAAUAAUAAUAUGAGCAUAAUCAAUUCAAAACAAGAACAUCAGGACAUAUAGUUUAAAAUAAGGGUCUUGAGCUUCAUGAACGAAAGAAGUCCAUGAAUCAACACUGUGCAUACCUUAUUUCUUGAUUCUACAAAGAUUGAGGGAGAGAUUCUUGAAUUUGAGUCUUGGAUUUGAAUCCUCAAUUGAAAAUCCUAGCUUAUUCUUAAGAGAAACUUGAGAGAAACAAUAUAUUUUGGGUGAAAUAUGGCUGAGUCACAUGCUAUUCGGUAUAUAUAGGAGUGAGAAAUUGACCCUUUUAACCCUUGGAUGCAUAUUUUAAUUCUGUGAAAAUUUCCCAAUUUGGACCCCUGGCGCGAUGCGGUGCUAUUGUGUCGUGUCUCUGGGAAGUGACAAAUGGGAAAUUGCAUGGUGGCGCGAUGCAGAGCUAUCGCGUUGCCACUUUGUUUGCGACCUGAAAGCUUGGUGCGAUGCACCACUAUUGUGGAGCAACACUAGAAAUUGACAAAUGCCAUUUAAGCUAGCUCCGCGACGCGCUAAUGGCUCAGGUGAUACACUGCCUCACUAAAAAGGCUCUAAUUCUUUGCCCGGGUGUCAGAUUUGGGCGAAUUUGAUAUCGAUGGAAAUCUUAUUCAAUUUACCACAUGAUAAAAAGUAAAAAUCUUGAAAAACUGCAUGUAUAAAAGUGGAUUCAUCUUUAAAACAAGUCUUUAAAAUUUCUGGGAUGAUUUUUAAGCUAGUAGAAAUACGGGGUAUUACAGUUAUUUAAGCUAUGUUUACGAUAUGGAAGGAUUCAUGGUUAUGGCUUCAAGAUAUGAUUAAUUAGUAUAAUUUCAAUUACGUAUUCUCUUUUUUGAUUUUAGAUAUGGUUAAUUAGUAUAAUUUCAGUUACUUGUUCACUUUGAUUGCACCCUCUGGGCUUAUGGAGCCUACAUUGGGUUAUUUACUUUUUUGCACUUACUGACUUUUGGGGGUCAGUUUUAUAGUGAUAGUUUUGUGUUCUUUUAUGUUAUUAUUUUAGAUUAAUUAUUUAUUUAUAGUAUUUGGAGCAUUAUUCCAUGUUUUUUCUUUUAUAUUGACUUAGCUUAUUUAUCUGGCAUUUUAAUAUAUUUAUUUUAUGAUUUAGCUCAGUCGGUCGAUGAUGCCUACUAAGUACCCAUGGAUUUGGUACUCAUAUUUUACUUAUGUACCUUUUUGGUGCAGAUUUGAGUAUUAGUACUCGUUGUUGAUACUACAACCAUGGAGAUUAGAUUUUGGAGAUAGGGUGAACUCUUAAAGCCGUAGUGGAACUUUUCUCCUUCUUCUACUUUUGUUUAGUCUUCAUUAUUUAAGACUAAUGUAUUUGUCUAUGAUAGAACUCAUACUCUUUGGUUUAGUGGCUUUUGUACCGACACUAUUAGAUCAUGGGAUAUUAUUAUUAUCUUAUUUAUCUUUUAUAUUUUUUAUAUUAACAGGUAUCUUCAUUAAUCAAAAAUUGAAUCAUUGCAUAAUCAGGUAGAAGCUGACCAUCUACUACCUCAAAUUUCAUUCUAUGGACUAUUCAUUUCAUCUAUACAACUAAUGCCUGGAAUAGCCAUAAUCUAAUUACAGUAAGUAUCAAAAUCUACUUCUCCUAAGGAAAGUGAUUUAGCAGUUGCAGUUUUUCCAGCUAAGAAGCUUUGUUCCUCCCUUGAAUGUGUAGGUGAAAAGCUAUAUCAUGAAAUUUUUUGGCUACAUCAAUUCUACUUUUUUUGAAUGUUAGUGUAUUUCUAUCUUUCCAAAUUAUAUGUAUAACUAUUGCAAACACACAGCAGAUCAUGUCAGCAAAGGCAGCUCUUUUUUUAACUAACUUGCAUAUCCAUUCUACCUCUUGAUACCAUGUACCUAUUGUUUUAUUUUCCCUCAUCCAUGUAAGUAUUCUGGUCCAUAUCUACUUUCUAUAAGGACAUCUGAAGAAUAGGUGGUGUAGUGUUUCUUCUUCUUGAUCACAGAAUACAUAGCUCAUAGGAACUUGUAACCCCAUCUUCUAAAUUCGAUCAACUAUAGAUAGCCUCUCUUGUAUUGUGACUCACGAAUGGAAUUUAAAUCUAGGACACACUCUCUUAUGAAGUAUGAUAUUCUUCUAUACCAUCCUAGGAAGUUAAGGCUGAAGUGCUAUAGAAGCUUUCUUGAUCUUGAAAUUUUUACCCUGUACUAGGCUUCUCAAAGUGUAAUCUAUAGAUCCCUGGUAAAAGUGUUAUGCCAUGAUGAAUUUUCCAUUGUCUAUGAUCUUGUGUGCCACCCAAGCUGAGUUCUUGGGGCUUGUCAAGUCUUCUAUCUUGGUAUUCUUUAUGUAGUAGUAGUGCACCCAUCUAAUCUAUUAUGCAUCUUUUAUCAUCGACAUAGCCCAUAAGUUCUUCAUAAUGGUUGCAUUAUUCCACAACUUGAGGUCAAUAAUAUUUAGACCACCUGCCACUUCUGGGUAACAUAUUCUUACCCACGCGACUAGUGAUUUCUUAGAUAAUGCAUUGUGACCUAUCCAGAGGAAUAACUGGCAUACUACUCCCAGUAUCUUGAUUAUCUUUUUAGGAAGCACAAAAAUUUGAGCCCAGUAAAUUUGCAUACCAAAUAAAAUAACCUUUAUUAGUUGUAGUCAGCCUGAGUAGGAUUAUAGCUUCGCUAACAAGCAUGCCAUCCUAGCUGUGAACUUCUCUACUAGAGGCAUGCAUUGAGAGACUAUCAUUUUCUAUGUGGACAGGGGUAUCCUAAAGUAUUUGAAAGGCAGACCUCCAUCCACAUAGCCCAGAUUUUAGAGUAUAUUUUCUUUCAUGUUAGGUGUGACCACAACCAUGUAAAUGGAACUCUUCUCCUGGUUAUUUUUCAAUCUAGAGGCACAUGAGAAUUUAUGAAAUGAUUCUUGUGAUAAAGAUACAGAAGAAAGAUCAGCCCUGCAAGACAUUAAGAGAUCAUCAGGAAAACAUAUAUGGACAAGACCAAAGAUUUUGCAUCUUGGAUGGAAAUGGAAUUUUGUAUUUAGAGCCAGUUGCAUCAUCUUUCUAUACAAGUAUUCCAUUGCUAUAACAAACAAAUAUGGUGACAUAGGGUCACCCUGCCAUAAUCUUCUGCUAGCUUUAAAAGGCUUUAUAAGUCCCCUAUUUAGUAUUAAAGAAUAGGACAUUGUGGACACACAUUCCAUUACCCAUUAGAUGAAUUUGUAUGGAAACCCCAACUCAUUCAUCAUAGCUUCUAGAAAACUCCAUUCAAGGGUGUCAUAAGCGUUCCUAAUAUCCACCUUUAGUACACAUCUGAGGGAGAUCUAUUUCCUGGUGCACCCUUUAAAGAGCUCAUGACUCAAGUGUAUAUUAUUUGAGAUGUUUAUAACGACCCAAAUCUGGCACCCAGAAUACUACACGGUGCUCAUGACUCUAAAGGACCACAAGUUAACCCAUGACAGAUAUAUAUACCUAUAUACUGCAUAAAACACUUUACAACGCAGAAACAUGAACUGAAAGGCCAUAAGGUUCAAAACUGAGACAUUGUAUCUGAUAAAAAUGUAACAUCGGGAAGGGGCAGGAAAUACCCAAAAUAACUUAAAUAAGCUAUCUAAAUAUACUGUAGUCUGGAAAGCCUCUAAAACAUGAUUGUCUAAAUAAGGAGUUGAGGGGACAUAUCCCCAACUAACUCCAACUAAUAAACUAAUUAUUGAGAUAAUAAAAUGAUGAUCAUUUUCUCAAAAGAUGAGGACUUACUGCUAACACUAACAACUGAGACUGGAAUUUACUGAUGCUUUGGAGCUCGUGUCUCUGGACCUAUGGUAUAAGACAUGAUAGCGCAAAUAUGUCAGUACUUUGAAUGUACUGGUAUGCAUGGUAGGUAGGCUGAAUGCAUGGGUUUCAUAUGUAUGAAAAAUAACAAUAGCAGACUGACUAUUAUGAGCGUAAGAAUACAUGCAUGAGACAUAAUAACUAACACUAAUAUCGUGAUAACAUAAUUACUAAAUCUGAAUGCUAAUAACAUGACAGACUGAUAAUUGAUAUAACUGAUAACAUAAGUGAUUGAAUCUGACAGUCCUAAAUCUGAUGGAACUAGCUGAUUUCCAUACUGUAUCUGAGUUGACUGUAUCUGACAGUCUUGAAAUCUGAAGAACUAUCUGAGUUCUAUUACUGAGACUGAUUGACUGUGUCUGAUAGUCCUAAUUCUAUAACAUAAAACUGUGGGAAGUAGUUAUCUAACCGACAUGCCCCUAAUAUGCUAUUAUGGCUGAGUUGGGGUUCAAUCUGUAACCCUAAUUGGAAGGGUGUCAAUAUCGCGCCACUGGUAAGGAUGAGCUGUGGGUGACCCUCAUCUGAUAGUAUCCCCAAAAGAGAAUGGUGAGGCCUUUAUAUGACAGUGCGUAUCCACCUCAUCAACCCCCAUCAAACAGUAUUGAUGUCUCAACCUAUACUGGCUAUAUAGUUCUGAAACGCAAGGAUGACUUCUAAGAAUCACACCCUCAUAUAAUAGUGUCUGUUCCCAUCUUUGGGUUCACUUGGUGCUAAUUCCUACACCCAUCUGAAUAGACUCUGAACAUGAUUAACUGAACUGAACAUGGGCUGAGUUACUGAAUUCCAUUAACUGACAGAAUACUACUAAUAUCUGACAACUGACUGAGUUCAUGAGAUCAUGGAGAUUUCUUGAGUCAUAAGACUGUCUGGAGUCUAAGGAUUCAUAGCUUGACUGAGAGUAUCGUGAAAACUUGACAUGGCUCUAGGCACACAGCUAAUGUUUUGGGUACGAGUACCCCCAGGACUCAAUGGAAGAAAAUUGACCAAGCAUGACUUACUUGAACAUAUAACUAACAUCAUAAUCUAUAAUAUAUUAAUAGAAGCAUUUUAUCAAAACAUGUGAUAGGCAUAACUUGUACAUACAUGGAGAUUUCAUGGUAUCAUUCUAGUUAGGCACUUUUCCUUCAUCUAGGCAUUUAAUCAAACAUAUUGUAGGCAUGUUACAUGUAAACAUCAUUGUAAAAUAAUUAAACAUCAUGGUUCAAUUCUAAUUUCAUCAUUCAAGGGUUUAGUCAUAGGUUUGCAUGAAUCUAUAUCUAUAAUAAUUUAACCCACAUAGAAUUAUCACCCAACAUGGAGUAGAAUUUAAUUUUUCAUUAUCCACAUGAACAAAAGCAGCCCAACUAUGAAAUUCAUAAGAAAAUCCAUAAACUUGAAUUUAGAAUAGGGAUUCUUGGGUUUCAUGGAUGAAAGGAGUCCAUGAAUAAACACUAUACAUACCUUGGUUCGUAAAUACACAAAGAUUGAUGGAGGAAAUUCUUGAUUCUGAAUCUUCUAUGAAAAGCCCUAGGUUGUUCUUGAGAGGUUUUUGAGAGAAGAGAGUGUAUUUUGGGUGAAAAGUGGAUGAAUCACGUGUUAAAGGGCUUAAGUAGGGGUAGGAAAUUGACUCUUUUAACCCUAUAUACUUCUUGUAAUUUCAGUAAAAAUUUCCCGAAUUGGACCCCUAGCGCGACGCAGCGCUAUCGCCCCGUGUCACUGAAAUUUGACAAUUGGGAAACUGAAGGAUGGCGCGGCAUGGAUCCAUCGCGUUACCCCUUCUUUUGUGACCUAGGACUUUUUUGCGACGUGGAGGAAAUAGCGCUAAGACACUGGAAAAGGAAAAUUGCUAUUUUAGCUUGUGGCACGGCGCGCCACUGACUAAUAUGGUGCUGUUUUACGAUGGAAAAUUGAAAUAGUCAUAACUUCUUACCUGGUUAUCGAAAUUAGGAAAAUUUUAUAUCUAUGGAAAGCUUAUUGAAUUUUCCACAUGAAAAAAAAAAGUGAAAAUCUUAAAAAUACCACGUGUACAAAAGUAGAUUCAUCUUUCAAAGAAAGCUCCUAACAUUUUUUAGAUGAUUUCAAGCUAUGAAAAGGUACGGGGUAUUAUAAUAUCUCCCCCUUGAGAACAUUCGUCCUCAAAUGAGAUUGAAUACUAAACAUGAAUAACUAAAACAUGAUCUCAUGACUGACAUGACUGAUAACUAAAUAUAUCAUACUGAACAUGCAUAUCUGAUGCUUGUGUAACUGAUUCAUGAAUGCAUGACUGGGUGUUCUGAGAAACUAAGUUUAUCCUAAUGAGAAUGCAUGUUAUAUGCACAAUUAUAUAACUGAACCGAUACAUAAAUGCAUGACUGAAUAUGCAAUGGUACUUGAUACUAAGUUUGUAAUGAACACUGAACAUGAAACUGAGUAAGCUUAAGGAGAAUUGUUACCUUGAGCUUGAUCUGAGUUGGUGGAGAAAAGGUUAGGAUACUUGGUACGUUUGUAUGCUUCUGCUUCCUAAGUAUCUCCCUCGACAGACUGAUUUCACAGAAGAACUUUAACUAGAGGGACGUUUUUGUUCCUCAGUCUACGAGUCUGAUAGUCUAGGAUUUCAACCGGAAUCUCUUCAUAAGAGAGGUUUUUCUGAACAUCUACGCUCUAAAUAGGGACUACAACUACUGGGUAAGCUAUGCACUUUUUGAGGAAAGAGACAUGAAAGAAUGGAUGGACUGUUGCUAGAUCUGAAGGCAAUUCGAGAUCAUAAGCUACUUUUGCCAAAACGACUGAGAAUUUUGAAGGGACCGACAUAUCGAGGACUAAGCUCUCCCUUCUUGCCGAACCUCUUCACUUUUUUCAUGAGAGAUAUCUUUAGGUAGACAUAAUCACCAAUCUCUAACUCGAGAUCUUUUCAAUGAACAUCUGCAUAAGACUUCUGUCAGCUCUGAACAGCCCAAAAUCUUUCUCUGAUCAACUGGACUUUUUCUAAGACAUUGAAUACCAAGUCAGGUCCUAUGAUUGAGGCCUCACUAACUUCAAACCAACCGAUUGGAGAUCUAUAUCUCCUACCAUAGAGAGAUUCAAAUAGAGCCAUAUAAAUACUGGAAUGAUAGUUGUUGUUGUAUGCAAAUUCAAUCAAAGGCAAGUGGUCAUCCCAACUUACCUUGAAAUCAAUUGCACACGCUCGCAGCAUAUCUUCUAAAGUUUGAAUGGUCCUUUCUACUUGACCAUCUGUCUGAGUAUGAAAGGUUGUACUGAGAUGAACUUGGGUACCAAGACCCUUUUGGAAUACUUUCCAAAAAUAAGAGGUGAAAUGGGUACCUCUAUCUGAGAUAAUGGAUAACGGAACACCGUGCACUUUGACUAACUCUAUGAUGUAGAGUUUGGUGUAAUCCUUGGCUGAAUAAGAGGUAUGGACUGGAAGGAAAUGAGCUGAUUUUUCCAUCCUAUCUACAAUGACCCAAAUUGAAUCAUGUUGAUGAUAUGUUCGAGGCAAACCAGUCACAAAGUCUAUGUUCACUUCUUCCCACUUCUAAGUAGGAAUACUAAACUCCUACAUAGGACCACUAGGCUUCUGAUGCUCUAUCUUAACCUACUGACAUGUAGAGCACUUAGCCAUAAACUUUGCAAUAUCCCUCUUCAUCCCACUCCACCAAUAGAUCUCCCGUAAGUCGCGGUACAUCUUUGUGGCCCCUGGAUGAAUAGAGUGGCGCGCACUAUGCGCUUCUACAAGAAUUUGCUGCCUUGAGUCAUCUACACCUGGAACGCAGAGACGACCCUGACAACAUAAAACACCAUCUCCCCCUUGGGAUAAAAUCUCUACUUUCUGAUCCUGAACUAAAUCUUUCAACUUGACAAGGCUGGGAUCUCUAUCUUGCUUUUCUUUUACCUAGAAAACUAGAUAGGAUUUUGAACUACUCUAAACCCAUAUAUCACCAUCAUCUAUAUCGACUAAGAGAACGUCUAGUCUUGCAAGAUGAUGUAAUUCCUAAUCUAACUUCUUCUUACUAUCAUUCACAUGAGCAUCACUACCCAUAGAUAGUCUGCUGAGAGCGUCGGCCACUACAUUAGCCUUACCUAGAUGCUAGAGGAUACUUAUGUCAUAAUCUUUCAAGAGCUUUAACCACCUUCUCUGACAAAGAUAGAUAUCUUUCUGAGAAAAGAUAUACUGAAGACUCUUAUGAUCUAUGAAGACAUUUAUAUGAACUCCGUAGAGAUAAUGCCUCCAAAUCUUCAAGGCAAAGACUAUAGUUGCUAACUCAACAUCAUGAGUAGGAUAAUUCUUCUCAUGGGGUUUACACUGUCUGGAAGCGUAGGCUAUGACCUUACCAUAUUGCAUGAAGACAUAAUCUAAACCCACUCUGGAUGCAUCACAAUACACUACGAACCCAGUUAGACCAUCUGGAAGAGCAAAAACUGGAGCUGAGGUGAGUCGAGUCUUCAACUCCUAAAAACUCUUCUCACAAAGAUUUGACCACUGAAACUUGACUUUCUUCUGAGUCUAUCUGGACAUAGGGGAUGCAAUAGAAGAAAAUCCCUCAACAAACCAUCUGUAAUAGCCAGCCAAACCCAAGAAACUCCUGAUUUUCGAUGAGAGACAGGUCUGGGCUAGUUUUUUACCGCUUUGGUCUUUUGAGGAUCUACUCUAAUUCCAUCACCCAAAAAGAUAUGGCCAAUAAAUGCUACUGACCUUAGCCAAAAUUUGCACUUACUGAAUUUGGUAAAUAGUUGAUGAUCUCUGAGAGUCUAAAGUACUAUUUUAAGAUGGUCUGUAUGAUCUCACUCACUGCGAGAAUAGACCAGAAUAUCAUCAAUGAAGACUAUGACGAACAUGUCCAAGUACUGUUUGAACACGCAGUUUAUCAAGUCUAUGAAAGUUGCUGGGGCAUUUGUAAGACCAAAUGACAUAACUAGGAAUUCGAAAUAACCAUACCGAGUACAAAAAGCUAUCUUUAAAAUGUCACAUUCUCUGACUCUGAGAUGAUGGUAGCCUGAUCUGAGGUCUAUCUCAGAGAAAUAAUUGGCACCCUGAAGUUGGUCAAAUAAUUCAUCAAUUUUGGGAAGAGUAUACUUGCUCUUGACCAUGACUUAAUUAAGUUGGUGGUAGUCUAUGUACAUUCUAAGAGAACCUUCUUUCUUUCGAACGAAUAAGACGGGUGCACUCCAUGAGAACACACUGGGUCUGAUGAAUCCCUUAUCUAAGAGAUCCUUCAACUGUUCUUUCAGUUCUCUGAGUUUUGUUGGUGCCAUUCUGUAUGGCAGAAUAGAUAUAGGCUGAGUAUCUGGAAGAAGAUUUAUGCCGAAGUCUAUUUCCCUUUCGGGAGGAAUUCCUGGAAGAUCUUUAAGAAACAUAUUUGAUUAUUCAUUCAUAACUGGGACUAAAUCAAGGCUGGGAGUUUUAGAACUAGUUUCCUUAACUCGAACAAGAUGAUAGACACAUCCCUUAGAUAUCAUUUUCCAUGUUCGAAGGUAGGAAACAAGUUGACCUCUGAAAGUGGAUACACUACCCUUCCGCUCUAGGAUGGGUUCAUUUAAAAACUGGAACUAGACUAUUUUGUGUCUGAAGUCGACUGUGGCAUAGAAGGAAUAAAUCUAAUCCAUGCCAAGAGUAAUAUCAAAAUCCAUCAUCUCUAAUUCGACUAAGUCUGCUGAAGUGACUUUCUGAAAUAUCAUAAUCGGGUAGUUCCUGUACACCCAUCGGGCUAUGGUGGUUUUAGCCACUAGGGUAGAGACUAAAAAGGACUCUGCUAGAAUUUUGGGACUGGCUCCAAAAUCAACUGCUAUAUAGGGAGUAACAAAGGAUAAAAAAGCUCCUAGAUCUAGCAAAGCGUAAACAUGAACAUGAAAGAUCUGUAACAUACCAGUAACCAUAUCAGGAGAAUUUUCCUAAUCUUACAGAGACUGGAAAGCAUAAAUUUUAUUUAGGCGUUGCCCACUAGUAGCACUAGAAGUGGCACCCUGCUGAGUUGGGCGACCAGACUGAGCUGAGGAACAGUUCUGCUGACCCUGAGGACCUGGCUAAGGAUGGUCUCUGACUCUAUGUCCUAGCUUGCCACAUCCAAAAACAAAUACCAUUGUAAGCUCUGCAAAUACCCUAAUGGUGCUUACCACAAGUCUAGCAAAGAGGAUAGGUGCGGCCACUACUAACACUGCCCUGAGACUUAGAGCCUGGAGCUCUAUCUCUAUUGUUGUCUCUGAAUUUUGGCACUAGAGCACUGGCUGAUGAAAGAGCUGGAACUGAUGACCUAGGACGAAUCUAAGAAUGAUUGCCUCCCUCUGACUUAGGCUGACUAAAAUUAAAGCUACCUGUCCUAGCUUUUUUAUUUUGCUUCUUCCUCAGCUUAAUCUUCUUCUCCUCUAUCUGCUGAGCAUGAGUCAUAAGCCUGGCUAAAGUCAUGUCACUAUUUAGCAUGGAAGAUCUGCACUCAUUUACCAUGCUAUCAUUCACCCCUAAAAUGAACUUACUCAUCUUGGCCCUGCUAUCUUCAACCACAUGAGGGGCAUAUCUGGUUAAUUAAGUAAACUUAAGAGAAUACUCUUUCAUGAUCAUUUUGCCCUGCCUGAGGUUGAUGAAUUCUAACACCUUAACUUCUCAAAGCUCUAGGAGAAAGAAUCUAUCAACGAAAACAAAAGUAAACUCCUCUCACUCAAUAGGCCCUGUAUUAUCUAGCCUUUCUGACUUUCACUAUUUAAACCAAUGUGAGCAAUAUCCUGUAACUGAUAUGCAGCUAGCUCAGCACUCUCACUAGAAGUAACCCUCAUUAUGUCUAUAACCAUUUGCACCUGAUCUAGGAAUUCCUGGGGGUCCUCAUCUAACUUAGACCCGAGAAAGGAUGAAGAAUUUAUUCGGGUGAAGUUUCGAAUUCUGACUACAGCUGAAUUGGCCACUGAAUUGGCUGGAACGACAGUUGGUCAUUCAUUCUGAGAAGCAACUGAGUUAGCAAGUGUAGUAAAUGCAGCUCAAAACUCUGCAUGAGAAACAUGUUCUCCCAAAGGUUCUUUAGGUUGAGGGGCUAGCUUAUUCUCAUUUCUUCUUUUAGGAGGCAUAUUCUAUAGAAAAAGGGGACAAAUGGACUUGACUGAGAGAUUGAAUUGAGAUUAUGCUCACUGGCAUGACAUGAAUACUGAAAGAGGGGAAACUAUUCCUAAAACUUCUUAUAGUCUCAUGUACAUAAAUGUGGCAUGCAACACACCAUGUACAAGACUCUACUAGAUGCGGCUUUUAGACUUCCUAGGACUCUAUUGAACCUUAGGCUCUGAUACCAAGUUUGUAAUGCCCUAAAUCCGGUACCCAAAAUGCUACACGAUGCCCAUGACCAUAAAGGACCACAAGCUAACUCAUGACUGAUAUUUGUACCCGUAUACUGCAUAAAAUACUUUAUAAUACAGAAAAAUAAACUGAAAGGCCAUAAGGUUAAAAACUUAGACAUAGUAUCUAAUAAAAAUGUAACAUCAGGGAGGGGUAUGAAAUACCCAAAACAACUUAAAUAAGCUAUCAGAAUAUACUGUAGUCUGGAAAGCCUUUAAAACAUGAUUAUCUGAAUAAGGAGUUCAUGAGACAUGUCCCCAACUAACUCUAACUAAUAAACUAAUUACUGAGAUAAUAAAAUAAUAAUUAUGUCCUUGAAAGAUGAGGACUCACUGCUAACUCUGAAUGCUGAGACUGGAAUCUACUAAUGCUCUGGAGCUCCUAUCUCUAAACCUAUGGAAUAAGACACUAUAGUGGAAAUGCAUCAGUACUUUGAAUGUACUGAUAUGCAUGUGAGGUAGGUUGAAUGCAUGGGGUUCAUAUGCAUGAAUAAUAAUAAUAGCAGACUGAUUAUCAUGAGGGUGAGAAUACAUACAUGAGACAUAAUAACUGACACUAAUACCAUGAUAAAAUGAUUACUAAAUCUAAAUACUGAUAACAUGACAUACUAAUAACUGAUAUAACUGAUAACAUGAGUGACUAUAUCUAAUAGUCCUGAAUCUGAUAAAACUAGCUGAGUUUUGUAUUGUAUAUGAGUUGACUGUAUCUGACAGUCCUGAAAUUUGAAGAACUAUCUGACUUCUAUUACUGAGACUGAUUGACUGUGUUUGAAAAUUCUGAUUCUGUAACAUAAAACUAUGGGAAGUAGUUAUCUAACCGAUAUGCCCCUAAUAUGCCAUUAUGCUGAGUUGGGGUCCAAUCUGUAACCCCAAUUAGAAGGAUGUCAAUACCGCGCCACUGGUAAGGAUAAGAUAUGGGUUACCCUCAUCUGAUAGUGUCCCCAAAAUAGAAUUAUGGGGCCCUUAUCUGACAGUUCUUAUCCACCUCAUCAACCCUCAUCGGAUAGUGUUGAUAUCUCUACAUAUGUUGGCUAUAUAGUUCUGGAAUGCAAGGAUAACUUUUAAGAAUCAUAACCUCAUCUAAUAGUGUGUGUUCCCAUCCUUGGGUUCACUCGGUGCUAAUUUCUACGCCCUUCUAAAUAGACUCUAAACAUGAUUAACUGAACUGAACAUGGGCUGAGUUACUAAAUUUUGGUGACUGACAAAAUACUAAUGAUAUCUGACAACUGACUAAGUUCAUGAGAUCAUGGAGAUUUCCUGAGUCAUAAGACUAUCUGAAGUCUAAGGAUUCAUAACUUGACUGAGAGUAUCAUGAAAACAUGACAUGGCUCAAGGCACACAGCUAAUGUUUCAGGUACGAGUACCCCCAAGACUUGAUUGAAGGAAAUUGACCAAACAUAACUUACUUGAAUAUAUAACUGACAUCAUAAUCCUAAAUAUAUUUAUAGAAACAUUUCAUCAAAACAUGUGAUAGGCAUAACUUACAUACAUAGGGAUUUCAUGGUAUCAUGCUAGUUAGGCACUUUUCCUUCAUCUAUUGUACAAUAAUUAAACAUCAUGGUUCAAUUUAGGCACUUUUCCUUCAUCUAUUGUACAAUAAUUAAACAUCAUGGUUCAAUUCUAAUUUCAUCAUUCAAGGGUUUAGUAAUAGGUUUGCAUGAAUCUAUAUCUAUAAUAAUUUAACCCACAUAGAAUUUAUCACCCAACAUGGAGUAGAAUUCAAUUUUUCAUUAUCCACGUGAACAAGAGCAGCCCAAUCAUGAAAUUCAUAAGAAAAUUCAUAAACUUGAAUUUAGAAAAGUGAUUCUUGGGCUUCAUGGACGAAAGAAGUCCAUGAAUGAACACUAUGCAUACCUUGGUUCAUAAAUAUACGAAGAUUGAUGGAGGAAAUUCUUGAUUCUAACUCUUCUAUGAAAAGCCCUAGGUUGUUCUUGAGAGGUUUUUGAGAGAAGAGAGUGUAUUUUGUGUGAAAAGUGGUUGAAUCACAUGCUAAAGGGCUUAAAUAGGGGGUGAGAAAUUUACCCUUUUAACGCUGGAUGCAUCUUGCAAUUUCAGUAAAAAUUUCCCGAUUUGGACCCCUGGCACAAUGCGGCGCUAUCGCGUCUUGUCACUGGAAUUUGACAAUUAGGAAACUGAGGGAUGGCACGAUUUGGAGCCAUCGCAUUGCCCCUUUUUUUGCGACUUGGAAAUUUGGCGUAACGUAAAAAAAAUUGCGCUGAGAUACUGGAAAAGGACAAUUGUUAUUUUAGCUUGUGGCGCGGUGUGCCACUGACCAAUAUGGCGUUGUUUUAUGAUAGGAACUUGAAAUAAUCAUAACUUCUUACCCGGUUAUCAGAUUUAGGCAAAUUUUAUAUCGAUGGAUAGCUUAUUGAAUUUCCCACAUAAAAAAAAGUGAAAAUCUUAAAAAUACCAUAUGUACAAAAGUGGAUUCAUAUUUCAAAGAAAGCUUCUAACAUUUUUAGAUGAUUUUAAGCUAGGAAAAGGUACAGGGUAUUACAAUGUUCCUUCCUUCUAUGAAUGCAGAUUGUGGGCCUCCUAUAAUACUGUCUAAGACCUUUUUUAUUUUUUUGUAAGGAUCUUUGCAACCAUUUUAUACAUGGUAGAGCAGCAUGUUAUAGGCCUAAAGUUCUUCACUUUAGUAGGUGAUGGUACUUUAGGGAUUAAGGUGAUUGCAGUACAAUUCCAUGCCUUUAUCAUCUUGCCUUUUAGGAAAAAUUAUUGUACAGCUUCACAUACCUUUUCUUUAAACGGCUCCCAAUUGGAUUGAAAGAAUUUAAUGGGAUAUCCAUCUACUUCGGGGCCUCUGUCAUAUGGCAUCCCUUUGAUAGCUUGUUUUAUUUACUCUAUACUCACCUCUUCUAUUAAUAUCAAUUGCUUGUCUCUAUAUAAGCAUGACCUUUUCUGUACUACCAUUGAGUCAGGGUAAGGUAAUUUCUCUUCUUUAUUUCCCAUAAAUUCAUUUUUAACUCUACAGGAUCAUUUAAUUUUUCCCUACCUUCAGUAUAGAUAGAGGCUAUAAUGUUGUGGAUUGUUUGGAUUUUCAACUAAGCAUAAAAGUACUUUGUAUUUUCAUCCCCAUAAUCAAUCCAGCAUGCUCUAGAUUUUUGUCUCAAUAACUUAUCCUCCACUAAGCUCUAUUUCUGGAUGUCUACUAAUAUAGCUUUCUCUUGCUCAAAUAGCAACUGAUCAAAUAGUUAUGAAGUGAUAUGCGCUUGCACUGUCUCUAACUGCUACCUUGCUUGAGUCAGUCUUUGAGAAUAAGUGCCAUGUAAGCAUUCAAAUCUCUUAAUGCUAGUUUUGGAUUUUUUAGCUUGUUCUAGACAACCAUCAUUGCAUCACCUUCCUCGGGUGCCUUCCAUACUUGUUGUACUAUUUCAUGGAACUAGGGGUGUUCCAUAAUAGUGGCACAUAACCUAAAUAGUUAUGGGUGCAAGUUGUCCCUCUGCAUACACUAGGUCAUAGCUGGGGAGUGAUCGGAUAUACUUGGCACCAUAUACUGAAGCAAAUUAUUAUAGCAAUUCAAGAUUCCCUAGUACUCAAUAUACUCUAUUGUACACCCUAUUGGCCCUCUGCUGCAUAUUACACCAGGUGUAAAAGUUGCCUUUUGAUCUAAUAGGAGUGAGCUGCAAAUUGUCAAUCAUAUCUUUAAACCUUUGCACUUCUGAUUCUGUAACUGGUUGACCUACUCUGUUAUCUGUAGUUAGCAUAUUAUUAAAGUCUCCACUGAGCAUCCAUUGUUAUUGGCUUUCUAUACCUAUUUGCUUCAAUUGCUACCAUAGAAUUGAUCUUAUAUCCACCUCAUUCCUAGCAUACACCACUAUGACUUUAGCUCUAAAGUUACUGUAUAGGUUUGCUACCUUGCAAUGGAUAUACUGCUCGAGUAUUUGUAAGAUCUGCACAUUUAUGUGUUUCUUCCAUAGCAGCCAUAUACACCUAUUCUCUCCAUAAAGAUAGUUACAGUAAUGGUUCCAUUCCUUUGAAAAUUAAAAUAGGAUUUGUUUAGCUUUUCCCUCCUUUAUUCUAGUCUCUAAACAUCCAAAAAGGUUAAUUUUAUUCUUUCUUAGCAAGAGUAACACCUCUUUUUGCUAAAGGGAUGAUUCAUCCCCCUCAUAUUCCAUGUGCAUAUAAUUAUGGGGGCUUAUGAGUAGUAUUAUUUGCUGGCUUUGAAGCGUUGGCAUUUACCUUAGUUGCUCUGGCCAGUGGUGUAAAUCGAUUACUUUGACUCAUAUCUGGUUCUGUUUCAAUAUUCUUACUAGAGGGAGUGGCCUUUUCCUUGCUUGGAUCUCCUAGAAUAUCUGUUUUAGAUUGAGGGAGCCUCCUAUCUGCUCUAGCUUGCCAGGUUUGUACAAUUUUCUUUCGUCGUCUACUCUUUCUCCUCUGUUUGGGUGGUUUAUUGAACUCCUCAUCCUCCUGGAUUAGUUGUUCUUCUCCCUUCUUUGGAUAUCAUUUUAACCUACAGUCCUCAGUAUUGUGCCCAUAUCAAAUACACUCAUUGCAGAAUCUAGGCCUCCAAUCAUAUUCCAUCCUUUGUUGAAUUAUUCUAUAUGGAGCUUCAAUUUCUAUAAUCUCAAUAACGGGAUGGGAUAUAUAUACUUCUACCAAUACUCUUAUAUAUGAGAUAUAAUUUAUGUCAGCAGUAUACUUAUCAAUGUACAAGGGUUUACCUAUUGCACUAGCUACUUUGCUCAAUACCUCAGUUAACCAAUAUUCCACUAGUAAUCUCGGGAGACUAGCCCAUAAUGGGACUGUUGUAAUUGCUUUCUUAUCAAAUAUGAACUCUGCCACCCAUGGCUUUAGUAUGAAUGGCUUGUUAUGAUAGGCACAUGGUACUGUUUGUAGCACCUCAAUUUUAUGCUCCAUUGACACAAAUCGAUAUACAUAAUUCCCAUCAGCAUGAUAGAGUAUCUAGGGUUUCUUCACGAAGUUUCACACUAUUGUAACCAAAUUAUCCAUCGACUUCUCAUACGGAACACCACCUAAUACAUACCCUGUAAUUGCAGUAGACCAAUAGUCAUCACUGGUCUUAAUGUCCUCAUGUGUGAGCUUGACCACUAUCUUCCCAUCACACUGAUUUAGGGGUUUAUAGACCAAUGCGUGCCCUUUGCUAGUAGCUCUUUCUCGUGGAAAAUUCCCUAGAUUCUAAUCAAUUGGUACUGGGUUAUCAAUUCUAGAGAUUGUAAAGUCCCUCACAUCAGAGAAUUAUAAUUUUUGUGGGAGGUUUGUUGUUUCUUCCAUAGGCCUCUUACCAUAUGGGUCAUCUGGUCAAAAACUAUUGUAUUUAUCCUCAAUCUCUUUCUUAAACUCCUUCUCCUCUUGAAUUGGUUAAAAUUGUACUGGUAGGAAGCCUCCAAAAUUUAGGGGGGAUCGUGGUUUAUGUUUUUCCAUUACUGUUGUUACCAUCACCAUCUUUGAAGCUGCUUUAUUCCACUACCUUUCUAUUUUCAGUGCAUGUUAGCCUACCUUCACUUAACCUGUACCGAGAGGAUAGUUAGCUUAACAUGUGCUUACCUUUCAUCUUUUUUUGGGGAUCAAGCAAUGUAUAUGGAUAUCCCAAGUUUCCUAUAGACCCCUUCAUCCGUGAACUACAGUAUCGAAGAAGGAUGGUCUCCAUAGGUCCAUAUUUUGUGAGUUACUGAUCUGGAGUAGGUAUAUACACUUGAUACAUUUGGUACUAAGAUUGGAUAGGGUUUACUAUUGGUCUAUGUGCUUUCAUUCAUGUAUAUUUCCUAUCACCAGUAUGAUUGUUUGGUGCUUAUAUUUGUUGACUUUAUGGAGGUCGUAUAGGUGUAAGCUAUGAUUGUUGUUUGCUGAGUGUUUUCUUAAAGCUUCCUCACUUAUGGGGGUCUGGUUAUGUAUUGUCUAUCUAAAUUAGCCAAUUACUUUAUUUUUUGUGAAUGGUUAGUUCAAGGCAAGGUGAUUAUGGACUGGUACUUGAGAUUGUUGGUAGGUUUUCUGAUCUUUUUUUAUCUAUUAUGGUAAAUUAUAUUAUAGAUAGUUCUACUCAUGUAUAAUCAUCCUUUGAUUAGAUGCCCUAAUUAUGGUAGUAUUGGCUUUCCUUCUUGGUUAGGAUUCCUUGAGAUUUAGGUUGUCUCCCUCAGGUUAUUAUCUUAAACUAGUCCUAUAUAUGAAUAAACACACAUACACACACACAUAUAUAUGGCAUUACUGUAUAUCCCUCCCUUUUCUUAUUUAUUCAUAUUGUAUAUAUAUCCCUUGGCCUUGUAUUAUUACUAUAUAUUCUCUUUUUACUCUUUGUGGUAUAUUGGCUAGUGAUAUACGAUAUUACACUGUAGUUCUUGAAUACUACUAGAAUAGGAUAAGUUUAUCCUCAUCUCUCCCUUAACAUUAUUAUGUUAAGUUCGUUGGAUAGUUUUUGUAGUUCUAUUCUUACUUUACAUAUUAUUUAUGCGUGUAUUAUCUUUGAAGUUCAGUCUAUCGAUGCCUACUAAGUACUAUGUGUUUAGUACUCAUACAACACUUCUGCACCCUACGGAUCAUAGUAUGAUUUCUUGCCAUUGACAUAUGUAUCCUGCGGAGAGCUUCUAAACCAUCUCUUGAUAUUCAAAGUAUUCCUAUUCUCCCUCGUAUUGAUUAGACUGGUCUUUAUUUUGUAUUUAGGAGAUAGUUUGUACAUGUAUUUAUUUUGUAUUUCACUUGUACUCAUAUUGUAUUAGAAGCUCUUGUACUAACUUCACUGGGUUUUGAGAAUAUAUUUACUUUUUCCUUUCUUUCUUUAUCCUUUUUAUGUAAUUUUGUGUUUUCCUUUCUUAUUAGUUUGUUACUAGUUAUUCUGGACUAUGGGUUGUCUUACCCACUGGUGGGUUAUAGUAGGUGUCAUCAUGGCCUGAAAAAUUAGGUCAUGAUAAUUGUCCAAUGAGAUGAGGAGAUCGACGAUGAUGUCUCAUAUCAAAUUUGAACACGGUGUUAUAAAUUUCUAAGAGUUCGCCUUUGGGAUAUUAUGCGAUAAGAACAUUUCUCCAAGACUUAAAUGUAAGUUCUACAAAGUAGUAGUUAGAUCAAUAUUGUUGUACAGGAUAGAGUGUUGUCUAGGCCAAAAUGCCCAUGUUUAAAGAAUGGAGAUAAAAUAGAUGAGGAUACUCAAAUGGAUGUAUGAAAAUAUUUCAACAUAUAUGAUUAGGAACAAAUACAUUAUACCGCAUAAGGUGGUAGUAACAUCUGUAGCGGACAACAUAAGGAAAGUAAAGUUGAGAUAGUUUAAGGCAUGUCAAGAGAGGAUCAUGGAUUCUUUAGAAAUUAGAUGUGAGAUGUUGGUUGUAACAAGAGUUAGGAGAGGCAGAAAUAGGCUGGAAAAGAAUUAGGAAAGAUAACUAGGCAGGACUAUAUACAAUAUAUUUUAGUGUGUUAGAAAAUAAAUUGUAACCAAAAAUAAAAUAUGAAGAAACAUAAUUUUACUGAUGAAUACUUGUGAGUGCAACUCAGUUCCUCCCUUGAUUCUUCUCUCUAAAUUUUCUACAUAAUUCAAGAGUUGUUUGUAGCAUAUUUCUCAAAUGUAUGCAGAUUUAGACCUCCUUGCGAUAAAUUUGAUCUCUAGAAAGAUCGAGCAAUGAUCUUUAAAAAGGCAGUAUUUAAUGCUUUGACCUCAUUGUUAAUAUCCAGAGUUUACAAUAUAUUUGAUAUGCCACUUCAAUAAUAUGUCUCUUCAAGAAAAUAUGUUAUCCUUUAAAUAGACAUGAUUUAGAGUUUGGGAAAAAGAAACCUCCUAGUGAUAAAGAAUCCUCCAAGAACUCUAAUAUAAAUUGAAUUCUCCUUGUGGAGUCCCAUAAAAUUAUAAAGUCUACAAAUGCCCCUACUUAAAGGAUUAUCGGAGUGUAGACUUGAUAAAACUCAAAGAUGAGUCUUGAAGUACUCAUAAAAAUAAGCUAUCAUCCUUAUGAUUUUGCAGCUACAGAUUGCAGAUCUGAUUUGUAAGAGAAUAAAUGAAGGGUAGAUUUAGUCUGCCUUGAUGUGCCAAUUUGUUUACAAAAAAUUGUGUUAGUCAUGAAAAAAAACUGCAACCAUACAUAAAUUAUGAAAAACACAAUAUAUUGAUGAAUACUUAUGAGUACAAUUUUGUUCCCCCAUUGAUUCUUCUCUCUGAAUUUUCUUCGUGAUUCGAGUAUUGUUAGCAGUGUAUUCUCAAAUAUAUGAAGAGUUAGACCUUCUUAUGAUAAAUUUAAUCACAAGGAGAAUUAUGCAGCAACUUUGACAAAAAUAAUAUUUGAUAUCAUGAUCUCUUUGUGAAUAUCAAGAGUUUAUAGUAUAUUCGAGAUGUCUGUUCAAGGAAAUAUGUUACCCUUUAAUAGGCGUGAUCUAGAAUUUGGGUAGAAUAGCAUCUGAGAUAGGAUUAGGGUAAAGUACCCUCCAUUAAUUGAAUUCAUGUUGUAAAGUCCCAAAAAAUUAUGAUGUCUACAAAUUCCCCUAAUCUAAGGCUUGUCGGAGUGUAGAUUUGAUGAAACUCAAAGAUGAGUCUUAAAAUACCCAUAAAAAUAGAGCUUUCAUAUUUACUAUUUUGUGGCUAUAGAUUUGCAGAUUUUAUUUGUGAGAGAAGAGAUGAAGGAUAUAUUGGGUCCCUCUUGACAUGUCAAUUUGUUUAUAGUAAAAUUUAGUGUGAUGCAAAAUUACAACGAUAAAUAAAAUAGAAGAAACAUAAUUUUACUAAUGAAUACUUGUCAGUAAAAAUCUCUUUCUCCCUUGAUUUUUCUCUCUAAAUUUUCUUAGUGAUUCAAGGAUUGUUAUUAGCUUAUUUUUCAAAUGCAAAAAGAUUUAGACCUUUUUAUAAUAAAUUUGAUCGUAAGAAGCAUUCAGUAGCAACUUUGACAAAGGCAGUAUUUGGUAUCUUGAUCUCUUUGUGAAUACCUAGAUUUUAAGUAUAUUUUCAAGGAAAUAUGAUGCCCUUUAAAUGGCCGUUUUUUAGGGUUUGGGGAAGAGUAACCUUCAAACUAUGUUUAGGGUAUCCAAAAACUCUAACAGAAAUUGAAUUCGUCUUGUAUAGUCCAUAGAAUUUUGAUGUCUACAAAGAGAUGACACAAUUUCAGCUUACUGAAGAGAUGACCCAAGAUAGGAAGGUUUUGAGGUUGAGGAUUAAGUUUGAACACAAGUAAAUGGUCGAGUAUUGUCACACUUUAUAUACGAAAAGUAGGAGUUAUUUAAUAGUCGUGUAGUCUCUUAUUGUUUGGUGUGUAUUACUACCUAUUUCUUUAAUAAUUUGAUAUUGUAAAAUUAUUUUACGAUUAUAUUCUUGUAAUUUUACUUCAAAAAUAUUUCUUUUGAGUCGAGGAUCUGUUGAAAACUGUUAGGAUAUACUAUUAAUCACGUUGUUUAGUAUAGUAUUAUAUUUUAUUUUUAUGUACAACUUUUGUAUCAUUAUUUGGAUUAAUAUAGUCUUAAUUCAAAUAAAUAAUUUUAUUUACAUGUGUGUCCUAUACUUAUUGAUAUGGGCACGAUCAUGAUCAUGGAUAUUUUUUGAGUAUGUUGAAUGCAAUUGAGAGAAUGCAAAAGUGUAAGUGAUAAGAAGGCUCUAAAGUCGUCCCUAUGGUGCACUCCAUGGGCGCCAUUUUGGAACCCUUUCAUUAAAGGGCCCUUUUAUCAUUUUAUCUCUUAUUUGUAAUGUAUUAUAAAUAGAACAUGUUAGGGUUUUUGUUCAUUAGUUAUUGAAUAUUUUUGAAAGAACACUUCUCUUGAGAGAGAAAGUCCCAAAACCAUAACUAGGUCACAUACAAGUGUGGAAUCACUUGUAUUUGCAUUUUGCUUAGAAACGUUGAUGCUUGAGUGGUUGAUUUCCUUUGUGUCUUCGUAGGAGUGUUAUGUUUCUAUUUUAAUUCCUAGGGGUCCUUAGAUUUGAUACAUCUUUAGGUUCUUAAUCUUGUAAUAGUGUGUCACACUAACUAUCUUUUCUUUUCUUGUAAUCUUGUACUAGUUUGUUCUUAUUUUUAGUGAGUCGUGUGUUGUUGCUAUUUUGUUAUUGUUAUUCUUGUCAUAUUUUUGUUCCUAUUGUGUUGUUGUUGACUGAUUUGGUGUCAAAUACACCAUUGUUUCCUUGAAUUCUUGUGUUGUUGUUGGCCGAGAUUUGUUCUCAAGAGGUCCUCAGUUUGUCUUGCAUUUGUGGAUUAUUUUGAGCUAUUUUCGUGUGUUCCUUAGGUAUAUUUGUAUUAUUUGGCAUCAGAGCAUGGCUGAUUUUAUUCCCACAAGAUCAAUCUUGGGUCGCUUGCUUGAAAAAAAUUUUUAAAAAAUAGUGUUCUUGAGAUUGUGUUCUUAGCCAAGACUUGUGCUCUUGUUUGUGUCUUGGCCGAGCCUUGCCUUUGAAGUCUAGAUCUAGUAGUUAUUUGGUGUGUUUUUUUGUUUCUAAGUGUUAGUUUUGUUCUCUACUACCACUUUUGAGUCUGGAUCUAAGUUUGAACUUGUGUUGUUGAACAUUGUGUUAUGGAUUUUGGGUGGCCGUGUGGAUAUUGUUGUUGUUCUUGGUAGUUGUUGUUGUUGUUCUCAAAGUUCUUUACCACCUUCAUGUCUUGUUAAACAUAAAAGUGCAAGUUAGAUCUAAAAGGGUGAAAAACAAAGGUGUAGUACUUGUUGGUGACAAAACUUGUUCACAUCACUCAUAGACUUGACAACCUCUUUUCCAUAUUUCAAGGACCACCUUUUGAGGAAAAAGUACAAGUCAAGUCUUGCCUUUUUAAGUUGAAUUUGAAAAAGGCUCCAAGACUUGUGUUUGAAUUUUGUUUUCCCUCCAAUAACCAAUUUUCACCAUUCCAAAUUGAGAAUUGAUCAAAAAACUUUAAGUUGGUGAAUAAAAAUUGUUAAAAUACAACCAAUCCAAGGCUUCCACAUCACCUUUUACUAUUCACUCAACAAUUUUAAGUUCAAAUUUUAGAUUCUAAGUUUCAUUUUCUUAUUUCUUUUGUUUCGUUUUUCGAUUCUAACACUAACUUACAAGUUAGACCAUUUACUAUAUUAUGAGUUAGUUUUGAACUCGUUCUUUGCGUUUACGUUCCUUAUAUGUUUAUUUCUCUUGAUCCAUUGUAAACUUUUGGUUCACCUCUCAACACCUCACGGAGUACAUAAUCGAGUCGUAGAAACCUCUUGUAUACCACCACAAAAUGCCAUAAGCCAAGCUCUAAGCUACCCUUAAACCCGAUACCAUGAUAGGCAACUCUACCUGCCACUUCACCAAGUCCAAUAUGAAGGAUUUGGAAAUGAAAUACCACUAAACCCGAUCCCUCCAAUCUAAACUUCAUUGAACCAAAGGCCUUACUUUUCACCAAAUCCAAUCCCAUCAUUCCAGGCUCCACUUAACCCAAAUUGACCCGUCCAUGUAAAGAGGUAUGGUAAAAAAGAACAACAUAGGGGAUAUGGGCCGUAUGAUAAUGCCUGCUUGAGGGAAAAAGGAUGAGGGGUAUACAUGGUGAUCUAGGCCGAGAGGUGAGGGAUGGAUACCAAAACUGAGAAGUGAGCAUAAACUCCAUCAAAGUUAGCCUUUCUAUCUUCAAGGGUGAGAGUGAUCCUGAGGCUUAUCUUGCUUGGGAGUCAUAUUAUGACAAGAUAUUCUAACUUAAUGAUCUCACUAAAGAAAAAAAGAGUUGUUAUUCUAUAGCUCACUUUGAAGGGUAUACUAAUACAUGGUGGGAGUAUGUUAAACGAUUUAGGAAUGAAAUGAUUGAGGGACAACCUCCUCCUUGAUUUUGGUUGAAGAACCUUAUACAGCAAAUAUACUUGCCCAAGACUUAUAGAUAUGAGCUCCUUGCCAAAUUUUACAAUUUGAGGUAAGGUAGCAAAAGUGUCAUGGCUUACUACGACAAAUUCCAACAAUUGAUAUUGAAACUUGAUCACCGCAGGGAGUAUGUAAGUCAAGACAUUGUGCGAUUCAAGGUUGGGUUCAAUAAUGACAUUUCUACUCAUAUGACGCUUCAUAAGUUUGACAUUAUAGAUGGCAUCUUUUAAGUGGCUUUAGAGGUUGAAAGGGAGCUCAAGGAGAACUCAUUCGGUGUUACUCAGCCCGAGGGCAAGGCUGCCCAACCCAAGACAACCAAGGCUACCCAAAGGUACCCUCCAAGGUAUGAAGGUAAACCAAGUUCUACUUUUAAUUCUAAGGAAUUUCAAUACUUCAAAUGCUAAGGGUGGGGGCACAAGGCUAGUGAGUGUCCAAACCAUAGGAAUGUGAUCCUAAGAAAGAGAAAAUUAUACUAUCUUGGAGAGAAUAUGGGCAUUAAAUUAGAUGAAAUUAAUGGCAAGCCUCAAGAUGAAGAGCAAGAAGAAGACAAGGUGUAAAAUAAAGAAUAUGGAGAAGAUGUGUGGCCGCAUAAUAGUACAUGUGAUGUGCCUAACUAAAAGAGGAGAAGCCAUGAAUUUGAGGCUAAAUUCAUCUCAAGAUGGAGAGGAUGAUAUGGGAACGAUCAUGAUCAUGGAUAUUUUUUAAUUAUUUUAAAUGCAACCGAGAGAAUGCACAAGUUUAAGUGUGAAAAAGGCUCCAAAGUCGUUUCUAUGGUGCACUCCGUGGGCGCCAUUUUGGAACCCUUUCAUUAAAGAGCCCUUUUGUCAUUUUAUCUCUUAUUUGUAAUGUAUUAUAAAUAAAACAUGUUAGGGUUUUUAUUCAUUAGUUAUUGAAUAUUGUUGAAAGAACAUUUCUCUUGAGAGAAAAAGUCCCAAAACCAUAACUAGGGUACAUACAAGUGUGGAAUCACUUGUGUUUGUAUUUUACUUAGAAACGUUGGUGCUUGAGUGGUGGAUUCCCUCUUGUGUAUUCGUAGAAGUGUGGUGGUGCUAUUAUAAGUCCUAGAGGUCCUUAGAUUUGAUACAUCUUUGAGUUCUUAAUCUUGUAAUAAUGUGUGUCACACUAACUAUCUUUCCUUUUCUUAUAAUCUUGUACUGGCUUGUUCUUGUUUCUAGUGAAGUCAUGUGUUGUUGCUAUUUUGUUGUUGUUAUUCUUGUCAUAUUGUAUUUUUGUUGGCUGAUUUGGUAUCAAAUACACCAUUGUUUCCUUGUAUUCUUCUUUUAUUGUUGUUGAUCGAGACUUGUUCUCAAAAGGUCCUAGGUUUGUCUUGCAUUUGUGGACUGUUUUGAGCCAUUUUUUGUUCCUUGGAUUUUAGUGUUUGAGACACACCUUAGCUCUUAGAACUUGUAAUAGUUUAUGUCACACUUUCUAUCUUUAUAUUUACUGUUGCUUCUUGUGUUCUUGUUGUGUUAUUGAGUCCGAAAGUUGUGUUAUUAUUGUUCAUCUUGUCAUCUCGUUCUUGUUGUGUUGUUGGCUAUUUUAUGGUGUUAAAAACACCUUUGUAUCUUGUAGUGUUGUGUUGUUGAGAAGCCGAGACUUGUUCUUCAUUGUGCUCUCAGUUUCCCUUUAUUUAGUGGACUGUUUUAGUUGUUUUUUAUGCAUUCCUUAUUUAGUUUGUAUCAUUUGUAUCAGAGCUUGUGGUUUAUUUUGUUCCAACAAAAUUAAUCUUAGGCUUGUUAGUAUAAAAAAAUAGAGAAAGAAGUGUUCUUGUGUUUGUUCUUGGCUGAGAAGUUGAACUUAUUGUUGUUGUCUCUUUUGCUGAAAGUUGUGUCUAGGUCUAGGAGUUCUUUUUGUUUGUUUUAUUGUUUCUACUGUUAGUUUUGUUCUUCACUAACAUUUUGAGUCUAGAUCUAGAUUUGAACUUGAAUUGAUUGAUGUUGUUAUUGUGAACAAGGUAUGGUCGUGUGUUGAUAUUGUUGUUCUUGGUAUGUGGUGACAUUGUUGUUAAUUUAGGUUGGAUGUUGGUUGAUAUUGUUGUUGUUCUUGGUGGAAUGUUUUUGUAGUUCUUGAUGAUCUUAACCUCCUUCAUAAAUUGUUACACAUAAAAAGAACAUUAGAUCUAAAAGUUAAAGGAGAAAAGGUGUAAGACUUGUUAGUCUUAAAAGAUUUCACAACCACGAAAGACCUUUCAAUCACUUCUGAACCACUUGUCCAUGAUUUAAGGACCCAUGUUUUAAGGAAAAGUACAAGUCAAGUCAAGACUUUUUGUGUUUGAAUUUCAAAAGGGUUCCAAGACUUGUAUUUCCCUCCAUUAACCAAAUUCACAAUUCCAAAGUUGUAAAUUGAUCAAGACUUGAAAAUUAAAAAAUAACAACUUGAUAAAAUUAUAGAAACCACAACCAAUUGAGGGCUGCCACAUCACCAUUUACUGUUCAUGUAUCAAUUUCAAGCUUAAAUUUUGAUUUCUUAGUUCCAUUUGUUGAUUCUAAUCCUAAUUCACAAACUAGUAAUCUCCUACUAGAUUGUAAGUUAGUUGUAGAGUUCGUUUGUUCGUGUUAGCGUUUGUUGUGUACUUUUGUCAUUUUGAAUUGUUGUGAGUUUUUGACUCAAGUCCUAUAAGAUUUCAUUUGAGUUUCAAACCAAAAUCUAUUCUGGACAAGAGUAGACUCAAUCCUCGACGCCUCACGGGUUCCUUAGCCGGCUUACAACACUUGUGAAGCUAUGAGUGAGGUAAUCAAAGAGUGAAAGUGUGGUGAGGCUAUUUUGAGCUAACUAGUUUAUUUUGUUAUUUAUUAUUGUCUUUUAUUAGGUACCAUGGCUGCCAAUAAUCUCAAUGCCACGUUUGAUUGCCUCAGUGACCAUUGUGAUAGAUUCAAUGACCAAUGUGAAGAUAUCAAAUGACACAUUGAAAAGAUACGCUAGUUGAUACCCAAACUUAUCCCAUCAAAUCCAAAACCUAUUUUCUAAGCACCUUGUGGUGAGAUCUUUCCAAAAGAAGAAGUGGGCUGCCAAGACCGGAACCAAGGUGAAUACCGUAGCUCAUUUGAGCUACAAGGUAAAAAUGCUAUCUCUUACACUCUUACAGACAUAGAAUGUUGUGAUUUGGCUAGUAUUAGCCAAAUGAGUGUAGCGGCAGUUUUGCCUAGUGGAGAAGUGCAUGAUUCUUUGAAUAAAGUGUGUGAUGAAAUCUGUACUAUUAGCUUUGUUCCUAGAGAUUAUGUGAAUAGAAGUGUCAAGAAUCGUGGAAUAUGUCUUCUUGAGGAUGGACUUUGAACCGUAACUCUUUCACUUUGAAAUGUAGUCCUCUCUUAAAGAUAAAUGCCUUAUGUGAUUGUGAGAAUGAAAAUAUAGUGGAAGGAAAGAGUAGCCUCGACUUGUGUCCUUGGCUACUCCAACCAUUUGAUCUCGAUACCAUCUUAGGGUGGAGAGGGAUUACUCUCAAUUUUUUUCCUUGUUUCUUGACGCCUAUCAUAACCAAUUCCUUUGUGAAUUUGUCAAUGGUUUUCUAAUGCGUAACACGAAGGAAUCUUGGUUAUAUUUCAAGUAUAUACCAUCUUGGCAUAUUGAUGUGUUUAUUUUGCUAACCCUAACCCUCAUGUCAUGAGGAUGUGUGCUUGUUUAUCUUCUCUUUGGUUUUAUAAGGUAUGGAUUCGAGGUUGAAUCCUUUUCAAGAAAGGGAGAAUGAUAUGGGCACGACUACGAAGAUAGACUUAUGUGAGAUGUAUUGAACCUGAGACUUGGAGUGUGCAAGAGAAGUGCAAAGAAGGACCUAAAUAGGCUCCAAAAUCGUCCAAACCCUACACUCCAAGGGCGCCUAUUUGAAGCAUUUAACUAAGGGGUCUUUUUGGACAUUUCACAUCUUAUUUUGUAAUAGUUAUAAAUAGAAAAAUGUAGGGUUUUAUUCAUUAGUUUUUGAUGAUAUUUAAUGUUGUAACACUUUGAAAAACAAGUCCUCUCUCCUUUAGGAGGCUUGGCCGAAACUAGGGCAACCCAAGUGUGGAUUCACUUGUGUUGUGUUUAUGGCUUAGAAACGUAGGUUCUUGGGGAUAUUGACGUCCCUCUUGUGUCCACAUAAGAGUGUAGGUGUUGAUUAUUAUAUGUUGUAGGGGUUUUGGUAUUUGAGACACACCUUAGUUCUUAGAACUUGUAAUAGUUUAUGUCACACUUUCUAUUUUUAUAUUUAUUGUUGUUUCUUUGUUCUUGUUGUGUUGUUGAACCCAAAAGUUGUGUUUUUGUUGUUCAUCUUGUCAUCUUAUUCUUGUUGUGUUGUUGGUUGUUUUAUGGUGUUAAAAACACUUUUGUAUCUUGUAUUGUUGUGUUGUUGAGAAGCCGAGACUUGUUCUUCAUUGUGCUCUCGAUUUUCCUUUGUUUAGUGGACUAUUUUUAGUUGUUUUUGGUGCAUUCCUUGUUUGGUUUGUAUCAUUAUAAAAUAAAAAAAAUUGUGCAUGAAUUUUUAUGGCUCAUGCAUGGAAGAAUAAAUUAUCAGUUCUUAUAAGUUAUAAAAUUAUAUUCACAAUCAAAUAUGAGGUUGGACAAACAUCUUGACGAUUUUAGCAAAGUUAAAUAUAAUUUAUUCUUAAUUAAUGGAGUGGUCAUAUUCCAACUUCUUGUGCUAUUACAUUUUGUGUGUAUUAAAUGAACCAAGGAGAUAUGGUUGUCUAUCUUUUGAACUUUAUGAAAUAAUAUUUCUGGAUCAUAAAAUAUACGUGUACUCUUAAUCUUGAAAUAAUUAUUAUGAUCAAUGUAAGUUGUUUGUUAUCUUAAUCUAUCAAAAGGGUGAAACUCUUUUGUGAAAUAAUAUAUUCAUGAUAGGUUGAAUAAUGACAAAUAACAUUUGUGAAGUAAUAACUAGUUGAUGAAAUUCAUGUCUUGAUCUUUAAAUUGAUGAUACCUUUUUAUGUUUGCUUAUAAGUUUUCAUGUGAAAACCCUGCAUGUGGAUUUUGUAUUCGUCACAUGAAAUAAGCUUAGCAUAUGAAUAAAGGAUUAAAUAAAUCAAUGAAUUAAACAGUCAAAAAUUUAAUUUAGUUGAUUGAUAUCUGUGAUUAUAAAAUAGAGAGUUAAAUAAGGUUUGAUGAACGAUUUUAAAAUUACAUCAAAGAGUGCAAUUAUGAACUUUUAUUGGAUCGAUCUGUAAUUAAUCAUAGUAGGUUAAUUCAUUAAUUUUGCAACUUAAUAUCAUAUUUUAAGCCUCACUUAUAAAAUGUAUAUUCCAUGUUGUACCUGAUUAAUUAAUGAACAUGGGAAGGAAGAAAUUGAUUUUCUAAAAGCAGUAAAAUCCUACAGGAUUUUGAUUAAAAUAUAUUGAUCUUCUAUAAGAAAAGUUUUACUCAUUUGGGAUUGACUUUUAUACCCAAAAUUUGUAUAAUGCUUGGAGGGGAAGAAUCAUAUAUGUUUUGGGACAAAGGCUUUACACCCUAAAACAUGGCUAUAAAUAGAACCCUUCUCCUUCAUAGAGGACAACCUUUCUGAAAAGAAGUACUGCCCACACAAGUAUUUCAUACUCAGAGAUUUUUAAGGUUAUCGCAAAAGAUUGCAAACCUGGGUAACACCUUGACAGAUUUAUGUAAUAGCUUCAAGCGGUUAGGAAUUCGUAAUCUGACUCAUCGUCAUUGUAGUUAUUCAUGUAAGUUGAUUGGUCCAUAUUGCUUGCUCUCGCUGCGCAUAUUUCAACUGAAACAGCCUCUCAACUCCCAAAAUUGAAGUGAUAUAUGUGUAUAUCCCACUCUUUUCAAAUCCCACAAUAUUACACUAGAUAUUUUUAUUAUUUCUACUCUUUAAUUACGAUAUACUUCCUCCAUUUUAUUUUAUAUGGUAUUUGUUGACUUACAGUCCCUUUAAAAAAAUACUCCCUCCAUCCAUCUUUACUUGUCAACUUUUCUAUUUUGGAAUGUCCAACAAUGUUUGUCCAGUUUAUAAAAUCAAUGAAUAAUUUACUUAUUUCUACCCAUGUAAUUUUUAGCAUUAAAUAUUAUUCAUUGUCGAAUGUAUUUUUUAAAGUAUUAAAUGUAUUAUAUUCAAAGGAUAAUAUGAUAAAGUUAUUCCUAUCAUUUACUAUUUCUUAAUUAAUAUGUCAGUAAAAAAAUAAAUAAGUAAAGAUGGAUAAAGAAAAUAUUUAUUAGACACUAAUUUUAUUAAACUGGUACUAGCAUAUUAUUAUAAUUUAAAAAUAUAAAUCUUUGCAAUAAAUUAUGGAAUCAUUUAGUGAUAAAGAGUAUGUUUUUAAAAAAGUUAAGUCUGGCCAAGAAGGUCAUAUUAUUAGAAAAAGAAAAAAAGGACACUCUAUAGCACUUUUUAAAAUAAAUAGCCCAAGUUUGAUAUCUUUCCAAAAAGUGGUUGGUCGGUAUACUAUUUCCGCUUUAUAGCCAUUUUCUAAUUUGUGUCAUUUUGGCCCACGUAGUCCAAAUACAGUCCAUAUACAAUACUAAUACAGUCCAUAUACAAUACUGAUAUAGUUUUCAACUUGGGUCAUUCGGCCCUUUUAAAAAUAUUUCAAUUUUUUUUUUUUGCUAUAAAUUUUUUAACUGAAAAAUAUUCUGCUUUUUUUAUUGUUUAGAAAUAAUAAUUGUAUAAAAAUGAUAUAAUUGUUAUAUAGAAUAUGUAUCUAUAUAAGAUAUAUGUAUAGAAAUUGUAUUAGUUCUAUCAAAUAUGUAUAUGUAUAAAAUAUAUAUAAAUAAUAUAUAAAAAGUGUAUAAAAACUAUAUAAUUAUUUUAUAAAAUGUACAAUUAUUGUAUAAAUUGUGUAUCAAAACUCUAUAAUUUUCGUAUAGAAUAUUUAUAUGUAUCAGAUAUGUAUAGAAACUGUAUAGAAGGUGUGUAAAAACGAUAUAGAACAAGCCAGCAAAUUGAAUGGCUAGAAAGUGGAAUUUAAAUUUCAUGAUCAUUUUCAUGAAAAUAGUUUAAUUUGAAGUGACGUUUCUGUCCUUUCCCCAAUAAAAAUGUACAAAAGCCAAAUCUUCACGGUCUAAACCAAAGGCCCAAACUGGAAUUAGGAUAAAUAAACUAAAAUUUACAUAUAUACACAAGAUAACUUUACCUUAUUACAAUAAAUCCCAUAUUGGUAAAGUGAUUACAUAAAUCCCAAAUUAAUUAUUGAAAUCCCCUAAUUUUUUACUUUCUCUCUCCUUAAUAUUAUACAUCUAAAAAGACCGUCUUUUUCUCUCUUUUUUCUCUCCCAUUACAAAUCAGUUUAUCCUCCAUUAUUGAAUUCCUUUUUCACGCCUAAAAUCAAGAAAUCGGGUACUUAGAUGUUACUUAUUGUAAGUUUUCAAGCAUUAAUUGAACUUACUGAUUUUAUUCAUUAUUUUUUGAAUUUUGUUUUUGAACUUUACCAAAUCAGAAAAUUUUUUAAUGCUUUUUUGACUGCAUGUUUAUUUUUAUGAAAUUAAUUAUUUUUGUAAUUACAUUCUAGUUUGAUUGUUAUAUUAUUUCAUAUUUUUUUUCAUAUAUUAAAAGUCAGAUCUUUGUAUUUUUCGUUUUAUAGUUGUUAAUUCUUAAGCAAGAUAGUAUAAACUUGGUAAUGGAUUCACAUCCUAGUUUUAGUUUAGGACUUAGUCAGUUAGAUGCUUAAGAACAAAAUAUUUUCGUUAUUGAUUUUGUUCCCAGUACAUUUAAUUUUGAAGAACUCAAUUUCGUAGAGAAUCUUUCAAAGCACCGAAACGACCCGGUAACCAUGAAGAAAUUGAAAGAAGUGGUCAGUUCUCGUUUGAAGAAGUCAGCUUCAAAAUCGACAAUUAAGAAGAAGCUUGAUGAGUCCAGACGACCCUGACUUCCAAAGGUGUAGAUUUUAUACAUUAUACAUUUCUUUAUUUAACACACUUAUGUAUAAUAUAAGUUUUUAUAUACAUAGAAGAGGCUGUUUUUGUAUUUAGUCGAAUUAUACAAUUAGAAUCUAAGAAUUUUGUAUAAGGUUACAUUAUACAUUCUGAGAAGUUUAUAAAUAAAUAAUGUAUAAUGUUAAUAAUCUAUUUGUAUGGUGUAACAUUAUACAUUCUUGAGUUUUUAUUUGAAAGUAUAAGAUAUAAUAUAUCAGGCAUUAUACAUUAGUUAUUUUGGAAAACUAAUGUAUAAUAUAAGUCUCAUGAUAUAUAUUUUCAAUAUGUUAUACAUUAGAAGUUCUUAUUACAUAUAAGAGGCAUUUUUAUGUUUUAUGUUGUAUUAUACAGUUAGAAAGUCUUUUUUUUGUAUAAAUUUUUAUUAUAGCUUCUGUCAAGUUUAUAGGUCAUACAUGUUUAAGGUAAAAAAUUUAGAUGUGUAGUAUGACAUUGUACGUUACUGUGGUUUAUUUUUUAAAUGUAUAAGUUGUCCUCAUACUUAUUUUGAUGUAUAAUAUAAGUCUUCUGAUAUAUAUUUUAAUGCAAAGUAUAGCCUUUGUUUCUCUAUCAAAUUCGAUUUCCUCAUUCUAUUUGUCGAAAGCUGAUAUACACAGCGAAAAAUUAACAAACCCUGAAAAUUAUUUCUUCAACUCAAUGUAAACCCUCAUUCCAUUGUUAUUCCUUAUGAUAAUUGGACAAGAAUUACCAUCAACAAUAUAUUUUACUUCGAUUUUUUUAUGAACUUCAUCAAUAUUCAAUUCCAUCGCGAUCGUAGCAAUCAAUUUCAAAAAGUUAAUAUACUUUCCAAAAUAAUAAUUGCAUCACUUUUGUAGGAUUGAUAAAUAAUUUUCGACUUUCAAAUAACGAAAUGACGCAAUAUGGGGAUGUUCAUAUUUUUUUUUACCCGAGAAUUGAAAAAAGAAGAAGGCAACUUUGUUUUUUCAAAAACGUAAUUAAACAAUUAGGAAAACUGACAGUGAUGUUUAAGAGAUUUUUUUAAUUUAAAUUUCAGUUACUAUAUUUAAUCAUACACUACAUAAUUAUAGGUAAUUAAUGGCAUUAUUUAAGGGAAUGGAAGAUUUUAUCUGAUUACUCUUUCCAUGAAUAUAGGCAAAUCUGUUUUAUCAUACAUCCCUCCAAUGUAUAAGAAACUACCAAAUGUAUAAGUAUAUUUUACAAAAUAGGGAGAGAGAAAGCAUAAAGGGAUUAUAUGUAAAUACUUUUACUAAACACGAAAUUUGUGUGGUUUAUGCAUAAAUAAAAGGGUAAACUACAUAAACGACCCUUAUAAUGGGUGGCUUUAUUUAUUUUUUUGUCCCUCAUAAAAAUGGUCUUAUAAAAUUAAUCUGCCUUCUUUUUUCAUAUAGCACAAUUAUCUAUUUGUCCCUCAAUAUCUCAAAUAAUUCUAAAAAACUCCAUACUUAUUUAUCUUUCAACUUUUUUUUAUUUUAUUCUAAUUUUUAUCUUUUCUUUUCUCUCUCUCUCUUUUUUAGUUUUUCUCAAUACCUACUUUUUUUCCUUUUUCCCUCUCAACUUUUUUUUUAAAAGAAAAUCUCUUUUUUUUAUUUUACUUUGAUUUUUCUUUUUUUUUCUUUUUAAUUUUUCUCAACCCUUACUUUUUUUUUCUUUUCUCCUCUCAACUUCUAUUUAUUUUUAAAAAUUUUCUUUGAUUUUUUUUCUCUUUUUUUUCUUUUUUAAUUUUUCUUAAUUUUUUUUUUUUUGUUUUUUCUCAACCUUUAUUUUUUUGUUUUCUCCCCUCAGCUUCUAUAUUUUAUUUAUUUAUAUUUUUUAUUUUCUUUGAUUUUUUAAAAAAUAUUUUUCUUCAUUUUCUUCUUUUUUCGUAAUUUUUUUUCUAUUUCUUCCAAUCAAGUUAUGUUCCAUGAGCAAGAGUUGUUACUACCACAUUGUAGAGGCAAGAUUAUGGCUUUCAAACAAGAAGUUAUAUUUCAUGGGCAAGAGUUGUCACUAUCACAUUGUAUUUUGAUUUAUGAGAUGUUCUAUAACUCUUGUCUUAGAGGCACCAAGGACUUUCGAAUAGUAAAUUAUGCCCCACGGGCAAGAGUUGACUCUACCACGUUAUGUUUUCAUUUAUGAGAUGUUCUACAACUCUUGCCUUAGAGGCAAAACUUAGCUCAAGGAAUUUCAAACAAUAAAUUUUGCCUCACGGGCAAGAGUUGACACUACCACGUUAUAUCUUUAUUUAUAAGAUAUUCUACAGCUCUUGCCUUAGAGGCAAGACUUAGCUCAAGGACUUUUACUACCACGUUAUAUAUUCAUUUAUGAGAUGUUCUACAACUCUUGCCUUAGAGGUAAAACUUAGCUCAAGGACUUUUAAACAAUAAAUUAUGCCCGAUGGAAAAGAGUUGACAUUAUCACGUUAUGUCUUCAUUUAUGAAAUAUUCUACAACUCUUGCCUUAGGGACACAACUUAUCUCAAGAAUUUUCAAACAAGUUACGUACAUUGGGCAAGAGUCAACACUAACACAUUGUGUUUUUUACUUAUAAAAUGCUCUAUAACUCUUAUCUUAGAGGUACGACUCAAUCCAAGGUCCAUUAAACAACAAGUUAUGUCCCAUGGGCAAGAGUUGACACCACUAUAUUGUGUACUGAUUUAUGAGAUUCUUUAUAACUCUUCCCUUGGAGGCAAGACUUAGGCAAGGGGCUUUCAAGUAAUAAGUUGUGCUCUAUAGAAAAAAAAUAACAUUACCAUAUUGUGUUUUGAUUUAUGAGAUAUUUUAUAACUCUUACCUUAGAGGUAAGACUUAACCCAAGGACCUUCAAACAACAAGUUACGCUCCAUGGUAAGAGUUGACACUAUCAUAUUAUAUUUUAAUUUAUGAGAUGUUCUAUAACUCUUGCCUUAGAGGCAAGACUUAUUCCAAGGACUUUUAAACAACAAGUUACACUCUGUGGGCAAGAUUUGACAUUAACACAUUGUGUCUUGAUUUAUGAGAUGUUUUAUAAAUCAAAGACUUUCAAACAACAAGUUAUGCCCUGUUGGUAAGAGUUGACACUACCACAUUAUGUCAUGAUUUAUGAGAUGUUCUAUAACUCUUGCCUUAGAGGCAUAAAUUAGUCUGACUUUCAAACAACAAGUUAUGCCCCAUGGGCAAGAGUUAACACAACCACAUCGUGUCUUGAUUUAUGAAAUACUCUAUAACUCUUGCCUUAAAUACAAGACUUAGCCGACAAGUUACGCCCCAUGGACAAGAGUUGAUAUUACCGUAUUGUGUCUUGAUUUAUGUGAUGCUCUAUUAGUCUUGCCUCUAAAACAAGACUCGGUCUAAAAACCACCAAAAGAAUAAGUUACACUCAAUGGACAAGUGUUGACACUACCACAUUAUUUUUUUAAAGUGUGAGAUGUUCUAUAACUCUUGUCUUAGAAGAAAACUUAACUCAAGGAUUUUCAAACAACAAGUUAUUCUCCACAAGCAAAACUUAACACUACCACAUUGUGUCUUGAUUUAUGAGUUGUUCUAUAAUUUUUACUUUAGAGGCAAGACUUAUCCCAAAGGACUUCCUAACAAUAAGUCAUGCCUUUAAAUUUGCUUUGAUGUCAAAAAAAGAAGAUUCCUCUGUAGAUUAUCCAACUUUUUAUUUAUUAGAAAAAUAUAGUAGAAGUUGAGAGAGAAAAAACAGUACAAACAAAAUAGAGAAAUAAAAAAGGAUUGAGAAAAAAAGACAAGAAAAAAAUAAAGGUUAAGAAAAAAGAUAAGAAUAAAUAACAAAAAAAAAAAAGAUUGAGAAAAACAAACAUGAGAAGAAAAAAAUAAAGUUUGGGAAAAAUGAAAAAGAAAAAAAUGAGAAAUGAUAAAAAAUUAAAAAUAAAGAUUGAGACCAAUGAAUUAAAAAAGAGAGACAAAUGAAGAAAUAAAUAAUGUUUGGAAAAAACAAAACAAAAAUAAAAGUUGAGACAAGAAUUAAAACAAGAAGAAAAUAAAAGUUAAGGUAAAAAAAAUAUUAAUAUAGAAGUUGAGAGAUAAAUGAGAAUGAAAAGUUUAAAAAUAUUUGAUGUGUAGAGAGGCAAAAAUGUAAUUGUAUUAUGCAUAAAAAAAAUGACUAAUCUUUAAAGACUUUUCUUAUGGAGGUCAAAAAUCCAAAAAUACCAACUAUUGGGGUCAUCCUAUGUAAUUUCUUGAAAAUGAAAAGGAAACAAAGCCCCCCAAAACUAAAAAAUUUAUUCUCUCUGUUUCGUAUUAGUUGGCCCCUACGAACAUGGACACUUAUUAAAAAGUUAAUAAAUAAAAAUAUAUUUUACAUAUUUAUCCUUGUAUGUCCUUUAAAAUGCAAUAAUCAAUUCAAUGAUUAAACAUUGAAAUUUAACACAUGUUACUUCAAUUCCAUGCAUUAUGUCUAGAACACUAAGUAUUUAUAAUUGAAAUUAGUAAUAAUUAUUUAAUUUUGAUUUUGAGAAUUGAAAUUAUUUUUGCAUCAUUUAAUAAUUUUAAAAAUUAUGGAUGUAUUUAGUAUUUUUAUCAAGAGUAAAAUGGAAACAUGUACUAUAUAUAAUACUCUUAAUUUUAAAAUUUAAAUAACUAAAUUAAAAUAAAUAUUUUCUUUUUAAAAAAAGGUCAAUUAAUACAAAAUAGAGGGAGUAGAACCUAGAAGAAAUCCUAAGUAAUGCUAUUUUUUCGAAAAAACGUUCUCUCUAGCCUCAAACGUCGAUAACCUUAAAACCACCAAAAUCCUAGAUUUCCAUAGUCGGCAUGACCGAUCUCUCUCACAUUCCCUAUAACUUUUGUAGCAUUAUACCAUCCCUAUUUUCCCAAAAAGUUUAAUUUGCCUAUCGAUCCUAAAUUUUGCCUACUGCUGAGCCUAGUCUAGUGAAAAAGAGCCAGUCAGUGUCAAUGAUGGAGGUAAACAAAGAUGUAUGACAUUUCUAGAUUUAAUGAUAAGAAUAAUAUUGAAAUAAUAUAAUAAAUUUAUUUUGAUUUUAUAAAUUGUAUAAGUAAAUUAAAAAAUUAUUUUUAAUAAGAAUAUAAAGUAAAACCAAAUGAAAAAAGUACACAUUAUAUUUUGUACGUAAUAUAUUCAUGAAAUAGUGGAAACUAGAAAUUUUACUAAGAAAAUUUAAGAUUAAAAAAAUUAAAUAAAAAAAUCAAUAAAAAAAAAUUCACAUCUACAAUAUAUAUAAAAAAAUUUAAUGAACUCCUGAUAUAAGCAGGCUCCGGGCGUCUUAUGAUAUAUAAAAAUCUCAAUGGUCAAGGUAGUUUGGAAAUGCCAUAAAUGAUACGAUCUCUGAGCCCAUUAAAGUUUCCCCCCGUUUAUUGUUACUGUCUUUGGUUGGGAAAUUAAUCUGGCAGUUAGCUAUGCAGAAGGAUAUAUUAUGGGUUAAGUGGGUGCAUGGGGUUUAUACAAAAGGUAGCACUGAUAUUUGAUCUCAUAUUCCUCCGAUGGAUAGUAACUGGUACUGGAUGAAACUCAAUCAGAUUAAAAGAAAUAUGGUGCACUAGUACAAGAAUGGAGCUUAUACGUUGACAAGGAAUGAUACCUACUCAGUUUCAUACAUUUAUAAUGCAAUGCUCGGAAGACAGUCAACGUGUCAGGAGGCAAAUUUAAUUUGGAACUCUAUAAUGAUGCCAAGACAUAGGUUCAUCGUAUGGCUAGCCUAUCAGGAAAGACUAUUUACUAAGGCUAGAUUACUGAGACUUAACUUGCCAAUUGAAAAUGACAAAUGUGGUUUAUGUGAUGCUGACCAACUGGAGUCACACCAACACUUGUUCACGAAAUAUGAUUGGGUUAAAAAGGUGAAACAAGCACUACAAGGAUGGUCAGGUCUUUCAUUGUUGAACUUUACAGUCAAGCAAUCGUUGAGAUGGUACAAAAGUAGAACGUGGAAGCAGUUCCACAAAGAAGUAGCCACAGCAAUUUGGGGUGCAAGUAUAUAUCACACAUGGAAAACUAGGAAUCGAAAAUAUUUUUAGAAUUUGUUCGUAUUGAGGGCUGUGGUGAUAGGCCAGAUUCAAAGGGAGAUUAAGGAAAGAAUUAAGCAACGGAAAUGUACAAAGAAAGCCAAUAAUUGUAGACAACUGAUACAACAUUUAGAAUAUAGGUAGUAACUAUUUUCAGAUGUAUAGCUUUGUUGACUUGAGGCAUGUGAGCCUUGGCCCCUGCUUGUAGGUGGCUAGACUUUUUGUGUGCUCCUUAGGUGUAUUGGAUUUGGUUGGUAUGGUAAUAUUUCACAGUUUAUUGCCUUAAAAAAAAUUAAAUAUUUAACGAACUGCAAAUGACUAUUAUUAGUAAUAAAUAUAAAUUAAAUAUUAAAUAAUAAACUUUUAAUUUCUUAAAUUAAAUAAGUAAAAAUAAUUAUUUAUUACUACUAUUUUAGAAAUAAGCUAAAUUUCAAUAUAUAUGAUUGAUGUCCUUUUUUUUUUUAAAGCAACAUUUGGGGGAGACCCAUGAGCCUCUUUUUAUUAUGAUAAAUCUGUACAAAUAAUGUAUCAGGCCCAAAUCGAGCCCAAUCCAUUCUAAAAUAAAACAACAAAAAAAAUUAAAAAACAAAUGAAACUUAAAAGACUAAAUGAUAGAAAGGGAAAGUGAGGUUCAGCUAGCUCUUGAAGUUUCCACGGCUGCCGUUGAUGUUACAGCUUCGACUACUUCCAGGUAACAUUCCAUUCACUAACCUAUUAAGCUUUGUGAAGAAGUGAAGCAAUCGAAGUUUAGGCACUAUUUCCUUGAUCUGAUUUUGACCAAUAAAUUCCACAACUUUUGGGUAGGUUCCAUCUGAAUAAAUCCCAUAAACUCUCACCAGAUGCUAUGGUAACCAAUCCCAUUUGAAGAUUUCUUCAAGAUGUGGAGUUGUAAAGUCAAUUUAAUCUUUCCAAGGUAAGGGUUUAACUAGAUCUGUACCCGUUUCACUAUCUCCGAUGGACCUCCAUGUUGGUCUGCUUACCUAAGCUUUUUUCUACAUCUUUUAAGCAGGUUGAAUCUUACAAAGAGGUUAGUACCACUGCUUAACUUCAGAAGAAAUAAAGCACAGUGUAACAGGCUAUUUGAUUGCUACAUUUUCCAUUUCUGAUGUGCUCGAUGUAUAGUCUAUGUGUUUUAUGUACCUUAAUUGUUGGCUAAUUGCUGACCUUUUAUUUCCAUCCAGAUACAUGCUUUGACUAAUUUGUAUUCCUUUGUAUUGUAUUUUUGCUCUUUUGAAAUCGAAGCCUUGGAAUUUCUCGUUUAUCUAUGUUCAGUAAUUUUCUUACUCCAGUAGUUAGUUCUGUAAAACUACUGUAACUUAAUGGCCCUGCAGAAUAGAAAACAAAGUGAGCGAGAAAAUCCGCCACUUGAUUCCCCUCUCUCAUGAUGUGUGUAAACAAAAUGUCUUCAUUUUCUUUCCGUCAUUGUAUCUUCCUAACUUCCGUACUGAUGCUCCAUGGGAUCUUUACCCAUAUUCAAUGAUGCAUUUCAUAGCUAGUGAAUCUGUUUCCGCUUCUAAAGGCAGUAGAUUGUGUGUCGCAGAAAAAUCUAUGCCUUGUUCAAUUGCUUUAGCUUUGGCAAAGAUACUUGUUGAGUUGUGAAUGUUAUUAGCACUAGCAUAAACUAGGUUUCCUGAAUCAUUCCUAACACAAAAGGCCCAUGAAGCAGGGCCAGGAUUCCCUUUAGAAGAAUCAUCUGUAUUACAUUUAUAAUAGCCUCUAGGUGGGAAAUGCCAAUUGCUUGCUUGCUAAGAUACCUGGGACUUGAGGCUUUCAAGGAACUGUGCCAUAAGAAUCCAAGUCUUUGGAAUUUCUUCUAUCCAAGGAUAUACCACCACAGAAAAUUGGUGCAGAUUCAGGUCAAUGUCAUAGAUGAUUUUGUUUAUAGACAUAUUACCUCCAUGAACCUGAUUGUUACUCCAUUUUCAUAUAUGUCAUACUAUAAAAGCAGGAACCAUCCUUAUUAGGGGUUUUAACUAGUAUGGGCAUUUGGUUUUCCACCACUUGACAAUUAUUUGCUUUAUUUGAAUAAAAGGACUUUGUAUGCCUGCAGCCAGAGCAUAUCUUGUCCAAAUGUUAGAAGAAAACUCCCCUGUUUGGAAUAAAUGUUCUAUAGUUUCAAGUUGUAGAUUGACACAACACCUACAUCUUGAUACUAUAGCAACACCCUAUCUAGAAACAACAUCAUCAACAUGAAUUUUUUCUUUCCAAAUCCUCCAUUGGCAAAAGGCAAUUUUAAAAGGUAAUCUCUUUUUCCACAAUUUAGUGAAAAACCAAGAUUUUUCUCUUCUGCGUCUGAGUUGUUCCCAGACUGUUUUGACAGUAAAUUCCCCACUCUUAGACAAAAUCCACCAAGGUUUGUCACUACUGGUGGUAUUACUAUUCAAAGGUAGGAAAGUACUUAUAUGAUUAACCACUUUUGAAGGAAGUUUCUUAUUUAGUAGCUGGAAAUUCCAUUGGCCAUUAAGCAUUUCUUCACUAACUUCCUCAAUAUUCAAAUCCUUAGGUUCAUCAGAUGGUAGAACACUUAUUAGUGAUCCCAUUCUAGUCCAAUUGUCAUGCCAAAAACUAGCAUUACCACACCUUAAUUCCCACCAAAUAUGCUUUUCAAUACAGUCUUUUGCUUCCAACGUCAACUUCUAAAGUUGUGAACCUCUUUUCCAUAUAACCUAUGUAGGAUUUCUUUUUUACAAUAUUUGUUCCACAUAAAAGUGGACCAUAAUGUACCAGUGACUCUAAACUUCCACCAUAGUUUAGCAAAAAGAACUUUUGAAAUAUCAAAGAGAGAUUUGAACCCUAAUCCCUCUUCUUCCUUAGGAAAGCAAAUAUUCAACCAUUUAGACCAAUGUCUGCUUCUACAUUCCUCUUUAUUGCUCCAAAAAAAUAUUGCAAACACUCUAUGAAUUUCAUUAAUGGUGUAUUAGGUUGGAGCCAUGGUUGACAACAAGUAGAGGGACAUGCUCUGAAGAUCAUUAUUGAUUAACACAGUUUUUCCUCCAAAAGAAAGUAACUUUCCUUUCCAAUGUUGUAACCUGUCCUUGAUUUUCUUUAUCAACGCCUUAUAGAACAUCUUCUUCUUCUUAGUAUAAAAAAUAGGACAUCCAAGAUAUUUGAAAGGGAAAGCACCAUUGUUAAAACCUGUUAUAUUAGCCACAACCUGUCUCAGAUCUGUCGAAGUCUUUUUGUGCAUAUAGAAUGCACUUUUGUCUCUAUUCACCAAUUGACCUGGUGUUUUUUCAUACUCUCUAAGCAAAUUCAUUGUAAUAUGGAGAGAAUUUUCUUCUGAAGAGGCAAAAGUUAUAGUGCCAUCAGCAUAAGCUAAAUGGUUAAUUUUUGCACUCCACUUAGAAAGACCAAAUCCUUGGUAGUUAUCCUUCUCAAAAAGACUGUUCAGAGCUCUUGAAAGGACUUCUACUGAUAGAAUGAAUAAAGCUGGUGAUAGUGGAUCCCCUUGUUCGACCCCUCUUGUAGAAUGAAAAAACCAUGGGCUUGCCCAUUGAAAAGUAUUGAGUACCAGUUUUUGGCAAUUAGUCUCCAUAUCAACUCUAUCCACCUUUCUAAGAAAACCAUUUUCCUCAACACUUUAGUUAGGAAUAGCCAAGAUACCCUGUCAUAUGUUUUGGCCAUGUUCAAUUUUAUAACAAUGUUGGUUGGCUUUCUUCCUUAUAUAUGUAACAAUCUCAUAUGUAAGGAGAAUAUUCUCAAUGAUACAUCUUCCUUUCACAAAUCCUACUUGAUUGAUAGAAAUAACUUUUGGAAGCAAUUUCUCCAAUCUAUCAUAAACCACUCUGGAGAAGACUUUAUUGAUGAAGUUUCUCAAACUAACGGGUCUAAGAUCUGCAAAACUAACUGGAUUAGAUUUUUUAGGGAGCAAUAUGAGAUUAGUAUGAGUAAUAGAUUUUGGAAUGAUGUUUUCUUGAAAGAAAGAUUUUACUAAUUCCACUACAUCUAGUCCAACAAUCUCCCAACGAAUGGGUCGUUGUGGAUUCUUUGAGAUCCAGACCCAUAAGCUCUUUUAAUGAAACCCAAUUCAUUUUCAACUCAUAAGACCGAUGCAAAAUCAGAGAAAAAUAAAAAAAUUUUAGGUGUGUUUGAUCAUCUCCUGUAUGUCAAUGAUUUAUUCUUCACUUUAAUCAACAACCUUUUUAGAUUUUUCAUGUAGCCGAAGUGCAGAAGUAGUCGAUUUAGACCUUUCCAAGGUUAUUGAAUGUUAUAAUUUUCUAUGACCUUGUUUAGAGAAUAGUCAAAAUUUAUAAAAUCACAGGGAGUUACAAAAUACAGAGUAAUGAAAGUUUAGUCCAGGUCUCGAACUUCUCAAUACAAUCGUGCCACAUUAUGCCGCUCACUGAUCAAUGAGAACUCACAUCUGGUCAGUGCAUAUAUUCUCUUUCUCUAUAAUUAAUAAAAACAUUACUUUGUUGUUGAACUUUUAUUUGCUUAGUUAUUGAUGGAAAGUAAAUAUAGUUAUGCUUCAGGUUAUGUAUUAUUAUCAUCUAUAUGGUUAUCAUGAGAUUGAUAAAGAGCAAAGAUAAUUUAAUUAUUAUAUGUAAUUAUAAAGGGGAAUAGGCAAAUGUGUUUAUUCUAUACAGUUGCUCUACUAAUCAUGCUUUUUUCGUUAAUUAUUUCUAGGUAAUCACAAGGUUCAACCAGAUUUUUUUUGUUAUCCAAAAAAUUUGACACUACACAUGCUGUAAGUAGGCAUGGCAUUGUAGUUAGAAUUUGAGUUUUGUUUUCGAAGUUAUAAUGAUACUAUUUAAAUGGCAGAAAUUAAACUGUUAUGAUGUUAAAUUAUCAUUAUAAUUUUAGUACAUAUGAUCCUGUUGUUGAUUGAUGAUGUUAAUAUUGUUGUUUGUACGGUGAAAGAUAAGUUGGAAAUUGAGGAACAAAAGAAUAAAGCAGAGGUAGAAGCAGCAAAGAAAAAGGUGGCAGUGGCGGAGAAGAAGGUUAAAGAGGAGGAGGUUUCCGUUGCUGCUACAAAGGACGAGGUUAAAAAUCAAAAGGUAAAGAAGUUAAAGAGAAUAAGGAGAAGGAUGACAAGAAGGGUAUCAAGGUAACGUUAUCAACUUAGAUAAAUGUAAGUGUUAUUGUGGUACACUGGAUGAGUUCUAUUUAAUCAAUGUGAAUUAAUGGGUAUUGAAUUAAAACCACAUGACAGUUAUAUGAUGCUACAUUGGUUAAAUCUGUUGGAUAGUUGUGCUCUUGGAUGUGAUUGUUGUAGUUCUGAAUCUACUAUUCCUGAUACAGAGCAUUUUUAGAUAACAAUGAGAUAGUAAUUUACUAUAGUUGACUGAAAUUGAUGCAAGAUUGGUAUGUAGAUGAUGAACUUCUCCAUGGAAGAGUUUGCAAGUUGGUCUUCAUCAACAGGUAUUGAAACACCCCAAACUUUGGUCCUUGCAAAUUUUUUGAGUCUUGGACAUUCUGCGCAUCAUACGACUCAUCAUACCACUCGUUUGUUGUGGGGAUGGGUCAAUGACCUUAGUCGCAUAUUGGUCAGUGUCACAUUGGCCAAGUUAUGUUCUUGGUACGAAAAGGCAUCACAUGAAUCAUAUGCACAUGAUACGAGAAGUAUAGUGCCAAUCGUAUGUUGUUCAGUGUCUAGCCUUGACUUUCUGUCUAGGGUACAAUUUGGAUGGGUACUAGUCGUAUGGUAGGGUAUGACUCAUGCUAAGGAGUCGUAUGUUGAACAAAUUAAGGUGUCCAAUAUUCUGAUCAAUAUACGAGUGGAGGGUACCACUCGUAUGAUGUGGGUACGAGUGGAGAGGCCAAAUCGUACCUUCCUAUGAGUCUUUUACAAUUUUAAGAUGGGGGUAUUUUAGAUAUUUUCCACCCUAAUUCCUUAAUACCCCACGUCUUAUAACACUAUUUGGUCCCUCAUUCCUCACUUGAAAAGAUCAAAACACUCUCAAAAUCCUCUUUGAACUUUCUUUUUAAGAUUGGGCUAGGGUUUCUACAAGGUGUUCAUCUAGAGGCUCAAGAGUCAAGUUCUUUCUGUGAAUCUUCGUGAAUAAGGCAUGUGACUCUUUCUUCAUUGUUAGUUCUCAAAUAUCAUGUGUAUUAAACAUUAUUCUUGAAUCAUAAACAAUGGUUUUAAAAUCCAUGGUUGAGGGUUUGAAUGAGUAUUGUUCUCUCGUGUCUUAACUUGUGUUUAUGCAUGACUUACUAAUGGUUUUGCACAUGUGGGUGCUUGGAAAUUGUAACUUAAACUAAGGGUUCAUCAUUAACCCUAACUUGAUGGUUUUUUAUUUGAAUAAUGGUUUGAUAAUAGUAUGCCCUCAACCUAUUUGUGAAAAUGUCUAUGAGAUGGAUCUUGUCACAUGAUGAAUUGUGUCUUGAACUAAUGCUUGGUUUAAGAAUGCCAAUGAAGAAUGAAUAAUUUUGUGAAGGUCUUGAUGACCAAUAAUUGGAUUGAAUUGUGAUUUGAACUAAGGCAUUGGCCUAAUGAUGUAAAUGGUUGGUAAAUGGUUUCAUGAAGACCGGGUCAUAAAUGGUUUUGAAUUGUAACUUUGGUGGUUUAAUUGGCUAAAUGGGUUCGAACCCCUAAAUUGCUAAAUUAAAUUAAUGACUUUCUAUAGACAAUGGGUUCGAGUCCCAAAGUCAAAUAAUGAUGGUUAUAACAUGUUGUACGCUUGCAAGUGGGGUUGGUAUGACGAUACUAACGGAAUGCCUUGGGUAAGUAAGUGAAAUAAUGUUUGUGUGUAUGUGUAAAUGAUGUUUUAAAUUGGACUUUAAAGUGGAAUGUGUAUCCAAGCCGUGAAAAUGAAGUCCGAAGGACUAAUACUGAAAAUCGCGCUAGUCGGUGCGGGUGUCUAUAUGACCGGAAGGUUCGAGUCCCCCGAAUAGAUAUAUGAAUGGAAGGUUUGAGUCCCCCAAUUGUAUACAUUGGUGAUACGUCACCUUGAUUAUGCCGGGAGGUUCUAGUCCCCCGUAAUGGCAUAUACGGAUAUGAAUAUUCUCUGGUUCGUGCGGCUACACGCACUAGGGCCCUUCUAGCAGGGGAGAGUUGGGACCAUAUAGCCCGCGGAUGCCUUGUUAUAUGACAGUUAUGCUACAGAAUCCUAGUUAAGAUUUUAAAAAUUCAGGCUUAGUCUUGUUCCCUACCCCGGUACGAUAUGUGUGUGUGUGUGUGAUUGCAUAUGAUGGUUUAACUGGUUUUGAAUGAUGGCAUUAUUUUAUUCCUCUAUCCCUGAGUUACACGCUAGCAUUCCGACCGCUAAUUGUUUUGAACGUUGUAUCCCAAUGCAAUGUAGGUUUCUUAACUCCUUUUACUUUACCUGCACAAUGACUAGGUAUUCGAGUGGUUCGUGGGUUGAAAUUGAAGUGGUGAGCUUCCAUAGUUUGGAAGACAUUCAUUUCACGGCCUUUUUACUCUAUGUCAUAGGCUUUAUUAGACUUGAAUUUUUGCUAUUGUUUGGGGCAUGUCCCGAUAUUUUAUUGACUUUGAAUUAUAAAGGCUUUGUGAAUUACUGUGGACUUGAGUGUGUUGUGGUGAUGAAUGAUUUAGACAUUUCUUGAGCUAAUGUUAGCCUUAUUUUGUUCUAUCUCAUUAUAUGUUCGAAAUUCAUCCGACACUUGUGGUUAUUAUUCUGGUUAAGUUCGAAAUUCAUCCGACACUUGUGGUUAUUAUUCUGGUUAAGUUAGGUUAAGGGGGUGAUCUUCAAACCACGUGGGACUUGAGAUGGCGGUCACAGCCAGAUCUUAGUUUGAAUAGUGACAGAUAUUUUGUUCAUCCUUUUAUUUGUUUGGGUUUUUUCACAUAUUAGAAUUUCAUUAUGAUUGUUUUCCCCAUUGUACUUUGGGUUGAAUGGCCUAUUUUUACAUCUGCAUGUAGAUGCAAAGCAUAAUCAAGAUCAGAACUUAGAAAUAGCCUGCUUUGUUACAGCUGCCUGGAUGUUGGCAAACACUGAUAUUUCAUCAAAGAAAGUUAUAAAGAAAUCUCUUGACAGAAGUAUGUGUUACAUCUAGACGUUAAUCAAUUUUGGUGACACUUAUAACGUGAGAUAGUACUACAGGGUUGUACUUAAUUUGAUGUCUAAUGACAACUGACAAUUUUCUUGAGAGAACUUAAAGUCGAACGGUUCUAGAAGUUGAAAACUUUUCUGAAUAUGUUGAUGGUGGAUCAGUUCACUGGUAAUAGUGUUGCAUAGCGCAAAAUACUCCAACGGAAUAACUUAGUUGGAUUGAAUUAGUGAUGUCUCAGAUAUUAACAAGAGUUUUAUUUCUUAUUUUUGUUCAGAUAUUACCCUUUCACAACUUGAAAAUGACAAAAGAUUUUCUUUCAUCAAGGUCUGGGAAAACAACAAAAAAAAAAAAAGCAAAGUGAACAAGAAGUAGGAAUUUCAACUUUCUAUAUAUGUAUGUGUGUGUAUUAUGUUUUAUUCAAUUAUUGCAAAAUUGCCUUAUUUUUUGCCUGUGUAUUAACUUAAGUAAAUGAUAGUUACCAAUACUUUUUUCACUAUAUUGGGGGUCUAAUUGUUCUUAAUUAAAUUCUUAGAGGUCCCAAUUAUUUUUAUAGUAAGACAUAGGGUAUUCUUUGUGACUACAAAACUCGCUCUACCUUGAUGCAUCUUUACGUUUCGUUUAAUAACUUAACUAUUCUCACCUUCUCAAGACAUAAUUCUUUUAAUUUGCCCGCAUCUCUUUAGGUUGAGAUGUUAAUACUUUCAUUAAGAUCAUACAUAAUGUGAACAACUAGUGUUUUUAACCUUAUUUUUAUUAUUGAAUAGGACCUUAAAGAAGCUCUCUUAAGUUGUAACAUGGGAGGAGACGACCCAAAGAUCAAAGCUUGAAGCUAAAUUAAAGAAAGUUAAGGUAACCGCACCUAGAGUCCAAGUAGACGUGCAUAUUCAAUGAAUUUGAAAUACAUAUUCUUCAAGAAUGCAAUAAUGUACAGAAAAAAUAUCUCAAUAUCUAAGUGAUUUAUAAUAGGCCAAUUGAAGAAACCUUUAUCUCUGUCACAGGGGCGGAGCUACAGUACCUAUCGGAGUUCGAGCAAAUUCAGUAGCUUUUACGUAUAUCCUAUAUUUAUAUUACUAAAUUCUGAAUAUAUGUAUAUUAUUAUGUACUGUGAACCCACUAUCAAACAUUGUUACUUGACCCAGUGAUUGUUGGAUCAGUUUUAAGGCAUCUUUGGCCCAUAGACGUGGGUUCAAACCCCAGUAGCAACAUAUGUUUUUUUCCCUUGAAAAUCCUGGCUUCGCUUCUGAAAUAACAUGAAAACUUGGUACUGAUUUUUGAAAAUCUUGGCUCUGAAAUAACAUGAAAACUUAGUAGUGAUUUUUGUUGCCUGAUGCAUCCUUUCAAGUGGUCCAGUUUAUGAUAGGAAUUAAAUUAGUUUUGACUUAUAUUGCUCGGACUCUUUAAAAAUAUUAUUGAGGAUGUCGGAUUAUGAAAUAGAUAUUUUUAAAGGAUCCGAUAUGGGUCCAUCAAUAAUUUUGAAAGGUAUAAACAAUAUAGCUUUUGACCGUUUUGACUUUUUGAUAUAUGAAUGUUGGACUAGAUCUUCUAUCUAUGUUGAUAAGCUGAUGGAAAUUACAGAAUCAACUAGAGCACAAGAAAGCUGAAUAUGUAAAGAAGCUAAAAUAUGAAGUAGCAUUACUUCGUAAGGAGGCAGAUGAGAAGAGAGCCAUGGUUUACCCAAGACGAGGAAAAGAACUUCUGAAAACUGUAAACAACGAUUGUUAUUUGCCAAUUAUAUAAUAUCUAUGAUAAAUUAUAGUGUUUUGCAUGCAAAAAAUCUUUUAAUAUUGGAUCCGUACGACUAUUUAAUUUUAAUAUAAGAAUGAUUUAUGAGUAAACGAGAGAUAAGAAUGAUUUAUAAGUAAGAAAAUUUUUAAAAUGGAAAAACGUNNNNNNNNNNNNNNNNAAGAGUUGGAAGACGGACGUGCUUCUACAAUUUGGAUCAUGAGGCAACACAUUACACGUGUCAGAGUUGAAAUCUAUAGCUAUUUACAGAAAGUGGACGGUGAAAAUAUUGAACGUACUAUACAAGUUUAUGUUAAAUCGAAAAUAAUUGAAGAUACAAGACUGUAGGAAUAGGUAAAAUUUUAUUUAUAAUACAAAAAUAUUUAUAUGUCUUGUUGUGAUCCAGUCACAACAGCAAUAGCAGUAGCCAUAUUUACAUUCUGAGUCAAUAGAUGUGUAAAUUUUACACGUAUCUUUAAAAUCAUUAAUAUAUACAAUUAUUAAAUUAAAUGUAAAUAAAAAUUUUAAAAAAACUAAAAUUUUAAAUUUAUAAAAUUAAAUUCUAACAUUAUCAAUACCGACUACUCUUAACUUUCUCUCUCUUGGUCCAAACUUUCCACAUUUAUUAAUUUUCUUUACGAAUUCCAACUCCAGGGGCGGUAGGGCGUUAAUUGCUGCUUGUUCACAUGCUAUCGUAGUUUUUGGCGACACGUGUGUCUAUCAUGCAAAACUGUGGAAGUAAAAAUCUUUCUCCACUUUUAUUUGUCGCAUAUAUAUAUAUAUAUANNNNNNNNNNNNNNNNNNNNNNNNNNNNNNNNNNNNNNNNNNNNNNNNNNNNNNNNNNNNNNNNNNNNNNNNNNNNNNNNNNNNNNNNNNNNNACUUUAAUAAGUUCACUUUAAUAUUAUAAAAAAGUAUCUGAAUUAAUAAAUAAAUUGAUGAUUUUAUUAAAUACGACAAACACUUAAAACAGGGCAUUAAUAUAUAAAUAAAAUAUUAAAAACAAUUUUAAACUAUAUUAAAAGAAAUUACUAGGGCUAUAGAACGAUACUCGAAAUAGGAGAAGUAAAGCAAUUGGAAAUCAAAACGUACAAGAUAGUAUGUACUACAACUAUACGACAACAGAUAUAACUAAUACAUUACGUAGAAUAUGAAAUAUAUGCAAUUAGAGAAUCAUAAAGUUCAACGAUUCAAAGCUAACUCGAUUUUCUGAAGUGUUAUAAUUUUAUAGUAAAAAAAUUAAAAAUAACAAACCUUGUAUAGUUGUAUUAAUUGGUCCACCUUGAUAAGAAAGAUAAUUCUUCUUUGAAGUCGAUAAUAUUGUGGAUGAACAUCUUCAUCUCAUUCUAGUACUAAAAGUAAGAAGAUCAAUAUAUGACUUAAGGUUAUGUAUAUACUACCCUCCAUAAACCCCUAUUAUUUUCACUAUAUCCAUAAUUAAAGAAAAAAACUUAAAAAUAAAUAAAGAACCAAUCUGCUAAAUUUAAAUUUCAUGUCCUUAUGUCCCCCUAAAAAGGGUAAGUCGUGAGUCGUGAUCGCAUUAUAGUUUUGCUCAACAUGUAGAGAAAAUUAAUAGCGUAUUUUAUUAAAAAGAUGAAGAAUCAAAAUUAAGUUCAAAUUUUUAACAACAUUUAUAAUGAAAAAAAAAAAGAAAAAGAACCAAAGUGCAUGCCUUCUUAUAGGAUUUGCUAGGGACCCAACAAAGAAAUCAACAAACCUAUUUUUCUCUACUCUUAAUUUUCUCGUCUUAAAUAAGUUAUAAAAAUUAAUGAUUCCUAAUAGUGUUUGCCUUAAAUACGUUAGAAAAAUGAACGUCCUCUUUCAUAUAGGCAAAAAAAGAUAAAAUUUACCUACAUUAAUUUACCAUAUAUUUUAUUCUCAUUACAUGUAUGUAGUUUUUAGGACUUCUUAAUUUUAAAUAAUUAAUUAAUAAUUAGUUAAAAUAGGUGAAAAGACAAUUUUGUCAAUUACGGAUUCUUUUAGUAAAGGGUAAAAAGUUCAAAUCACUUUUCUAAAGGUCUUCACACUUUUAAUAUAUUAUAGAUUAUAUAUUAUAGAUAUGAGUAUAUUUAGGAAUUUAAUACCAGUUUAUAUUUUCUCAGUAAUUUUACCAUCCAAAGUUUAGAUCUUUCAUUAAGUUUUAAGGAAAUAUAUUUAUGCAUGAAAUGGCGUAAAAAAUUAAACAGUUUUAAAUAAUUUAAAUUUUUAAUUAUUUUGAUUUAUGAUAUUUUUUCUUCUAUUCAAUUCAAGUGACACUGAUAUAAUUUUGAGAGUCGAUCAGCAACAACAAUAACAACAACAAACCCAGUAUAUUCCCACAUAGUGGGGUCUGGGGAGGGUAGAGUAUCGCAGUCCAUAUCACUACCUCGAAACCCACUUAUUUGCUCCAUACCUCAAAAGAGGAUCGAGCAAAUAACGAUUAAAAUAGCAAAGCUAACAUAUCUUAAAUGACUCAUAAUAACUAAUUAGAAAUGAUAUAACAAAAUUGCUAUAAAAAAUAUGUGCGAAAAUAACUUUAAGUGGACCUCAUUUAAGAUGUCAAGUUAAUUUGAAAUAUCAAGAGUUAAUUUGUUAUUUUAUGUCCAUUUUACAUUUUUAAUUAAAUACUAUUAAUUUUUAAAUACUUAGAUGACUUAUAACAAUUAAUUAUGGAUAAUAUAGUAAAAUUAUGGUUGAAACAGUUAACGCAGACAUGUCAUAAAUGUCUAUUUUACUUUUUAUUAAAUAUUAUUAAUUUACUAAUAUAUAAAUAAAAUAUAAUAAUUAAUAAGGGUGAUAUAGUAAAAUCACGAAGCAAGCAUGGUCGGCAAACAUGUCGACCACCGAAACAAAUUUUUUUAUGUAUUUCACGCUUCAUUUAUUUGUACGUGAUAUAAUAAAAUCACGACUGAAGUAGCUGAAGCAAGAAUGUCAUAGAUGUCUAUUAUACUUUUUUAAUUCAAUAUUAAUAAUUUUUUAAUAUAUAAAUGCCUUAUAAUAAUUAAUUAGGAAUGAUAUAGUAAAAUCACGAUUGAAGCAGCUGAAGCGGACUUAAUUUUCUAAUACAUAAAUGACUUAUAAUAAUUAAUUAAGGAUGAUAUAGUCAAAUCACGGCUGAAGCAGCUAGACAUGUCAUAAGUAUCUCUUUUACUUUUUAAAUUAAAUAUUAUAAUUUUUUAAUACAUAAAUAACGUAAAACGACUUAUAAUAAUUAAUUAAAAAUGAUAUAGUAAAAUCACGGUUGAAGCAGCUGAAGCAUACAUGUCAUAAAUAUCUCUUUUACCUUUUUAAUUAAAUAUUAUUAAUUUUUUAAUAUAUAAAUGACUUAUAAUAAUUAAUUAGGAGUAAUAUAGUAAAAUCACAAUUGAAGCAGCAGACACAGGCAUGUCAUCCACAAGGUUGUCUGCUUCAACAGCUUCAUUCACACUUAUAUAUUAGUGAUAGAUGUACUAGAUAUCAAAGGCCCCAUUAUGUGGAAUACACUAGAUUUGUUGUUAUUGUUGUUGUAAAGGCCCGUGGUAAUACGAUCCAAUAUAUAUUAUUUUUUAGUCUUAAUUUAUGUGACGCAAAUAAAAUUUUGAUAAUUAAUUAUAUUUUAAAUAUUUUUUAGAUAUUCAAAGUUGUUAGCUAUUAUAAUUUGUAAUAGUUUUUUUUACAUUAUAAUUUACUAUUUUAAGCUGUUAGCCAUUAUAAUUUAUACUACUCUCCUUGUCCAAACUUUUGUAGCCCUGAUAGUCAAUUAUAUUUUAAAAAUAAUUUAAUUUUAAUUAUUAUGAUUUAUAAUAUUUUUUAUUCUAUUUUAAUUUAAGUGACACUUAUAUAAUUUCGAGAGUCAAUCAAAUAUAAAGGUUGAAAUCGCGAAGCAGACAUGUCUUAAAUGAUUCAUAAUAACUUAUUAGAAAUUAUACAUUAAAUUACUAUAAAAAAUAGUUGUGAAAAAAAUUUAAGCGGGCCUCAUAUAAGAUGUCAAGUUAAUUUAACACAUCAAUUUAAUUUAUUAUUAUUAUUGUUUAUUUUAUUUUUUUAUUAACUAUUUUUUAAAUACUUAUGACUCAUAAUAAUUAAUUAAAGAUAAAAUAGUAAAACUACAGUUGAAAGAGCUGAAGCAGACAUGUCAUAAAUGUCUAUUUUAUUUUAUUUCAUUAAAUAUUAUUAAUUUUUUAAAGUGUAAAUGACAUAUAAUAAUUAAUUAGGGAAUAACUUAUUAGAAGUGAUAUAACAAAAUUAAAAUUCAAAAUAGUUGUGAAAAUAAUUUAGAUGGACCUCAUAAAUUAUGUCAAGUUAAUUUAAAACAUCAAUAGCUAGUUUAUCAUUUUUUUGUUUAUUUUAUUUUUUUAUUAAAUAUUAUUAAUCUUUAUAAUAUUUAAAUGAAUUAUAAUAAUUAAUUAAGGAUGAAAUAGUAAAAUUAUGAUUGAAGCAACUGAAACAGACAUGUCAUAAAUGUUUAUUUUNNNNNNNNNNNNNNNNNNNNNNNNNNNNNNNNNNNNNNNNNNNNNNNNNNNNNNNNNNNNNNNNNNNNNNNNNNNNNNNNNNNNNNNNNNNNNNNNNNNNNNNNNNNNNNNNNNNNNNNNNNNNNNNNNNNNNNNNNNNNNNNNNNNNNNNNNNNNNNNNNNNNNNNNNNNNNNNNNNNNNNNNNNNNNNNNNNNNNNNNNNAUUUUAUAUUUUUUAUUAAAUAUUAUUAAUUUUUUAAUACUUAAAUAAUUUAUAAUAAUUAAUUGGGGGUCACCUUCACUUGCUUUUUUCACUCUUCUAUAUAUUAGAACUAGAGGAGCAUGACUCGUGUCAGCACGGACCCAAACAUUAAGAUAUUUUAAUUAUGUACGAUAAGUUAAAUUGAUGUCAAUUCGAAUUAUGAACUGUAAAACAUGAAUACACAAAAUUAACAUAUUAACUAUUUGAUAGUAUUUUUCAAGGAACUAAGUCUCACAAGAUAAUUAUGUAUAUUUUAUUCAUAUAAAUGACAAAAUUUUGUGCAUUUUUAAAUUUAGAUCUUUAAUCAUAUGAUAAAGGGUUAUCUAGUUUUGCAUAUUACAUCACAUGUGGCUUGCAAUUAAUGACCCAAAAUUGUAUUUUACUCCCCUACUAAGUCGAUAUAAAUAUUUUUUGCUUUCAUUUUCUCCUUCUCUUUUAUUUGUCAACUUGUUCUUUGAAGUUAAAUUAAAUUAAUAUUUUAAAUUUAUUUUAAGUAUUUCAAAAAUUAUAUAAAAAAGAAAACUAUAUGUUAUCAUUUUUCAUAUUAAUUUAAGUUAUUUGAUUUUGAGAACACGAGAAAACAUACUUAUGUAGAUGUUUUAUUGAACUAUGCUUUUAUAUAUGUUCCUAGUGGUUUGUUAGGGUGUAUUAAAAUAAUUUCGAAUAGAAUGUAUUAGUAAUGUCUGCAUUAAUAAUACUUGUAUUAGUAAUACUGAUAUUAUUCAUUAUUUCUUAUACACUGCUUGGUGUGAUGUAUUGAAACUUGCCUUUUCAAUCUUAAUAUAUUUAAACAAAAAAAUUUUAAAAAAUAAAUUGUAUAUAUAUUUUAAGAUUCAUCCGAGAUUUAGCACGGGCUCAAUAUAUGUUAUUUUUUUUAAUCAUAAUUUAUGUGACACAAAUAUAAUUUAGAUAAUCAAUCAUAUACUUAAUAUGAUUUUAGAUAUUUUAAGUUGUUAACUAUUGUAAUUUAUAAUAUUUUUAUGUUAUUUUCAAAUAAUAUAUGUUACUCUCCUUGUCCAAACUUUUGUGGCAUUGAUAGUCAAUUAUAUUUUAAAAAUAAGUGAAGUUUUUAAUCAUUGUGAUUUAUAAUACUUUUCUUCUAUUCCAAUUUAAGUGACACUAAUAUAAUUUUGAAAGUCAAUCAAAUAUUUUAUAUCUUUUAAAUUUUUUAAGUUGUUAUUGUGAUUUAUAGUAUUUUUUACAUAUUUUUUGAAAUAUAUAACAAAUUAUUUUUUUUUUAAAAUAUUAAGUUGUUAACUAUUGUAAUUUAUAAUACUUCAUGUAAUUUUUAAAUAAUAUAUGUUACUCUCCUCGUCCAAAAUUUUGUGUCAUCGAUAGUUAAUUAUAUUUUUUAAAUAAUUUAAAUUUUUAAUUAUUGUGAUUUAAAAUACAUUUUCUAUUUCAAUUUAAGCGAUACAAUGCUUUGAUGGCCAUAAUAAUUAAUUAGGAGUGAUUUAAUAAAAUCACGAUUGAAGCAGCUAAACAGACAUAUCUUAAAUAACUUACAACAACUAACUAAAAGUGAUAUAGGAAAAUUACUAUAAACAAAAUACUUGUGAAAAAAAUUUAAGUGGACCUCAUAUAAGACGUCAAGUUAGUUUAAAACAUCAAGAAUUAAUUGUCAUUUUAUAUAUUUUAUUUUUUUAUUAAAUAUUAAUAAUUUUUUAAUACUUAGCUAACUUAUAUUAAUUAAUAGGGGGUGAUAUUUAGUACGAUUAUGUUUGAAGUAACUGAAGCAGACAUGUUAUAAAUGUAAAUUUUAGUUUUUUAGUAAAAUAUUAUUAGUUUUUUAACAUAUAAAUAACUUAUAAUAAUUAAUUAGAGAUGAUAUAGUAAAAUUAUUGUUGAAGAAGAUAUAUCAUAAAUGUUUAUUUAACUUUUUUAAAUUAAAUAUUAUUAAUUUUUAGUAUAUAAUUGACUUAUAAUAUUUAAUUAAGGGUGAUACAGUAAAAUUAUGAAUUUAAUAGUAUUAGUUUUUUUAAUACAUGAAUGACUUAUAAUAAUUAAUCAGGGGUAAUAUAGUAAAAUCACGAUUAAAACAGCUGAAACAGACAUGUCGUAAAUGUCUAUUUUACCUUUUUAAUUAAGUAUUAUUAAUUUUUAAUAUAAAAAUAAUUUAUAAUAAUUAAUUAGGAGUGAUAUAGUAAAAUCACGAAAUAAGUAAUCUGCUAAAGCAGGCAUGUCGAAACCUUCUCUUAUAUUGAAAUAUAUAUAUUUUAAUUAAUACUCCUUCUGAUGUUUAGAAGUUAUUUUCACAAUUAUUUUUUAAUUGCUCUAUUUAUAUUGAUCAUACCUCUCAAUAAAUUUUUUAUUUUUUUACUCCCAUAAAAUUAAAAUUACUUUUAUUAUUAUUUUUCUAACUAAAUUUAGAUUGGAUGCAUUUCUAAUUUCUUCUUAAUUAAUGAUUUUGAUAAUUUAAAUAAGGAUACAGUAAGAAAAUUUUAAUCAAAUUAUUCUUAUAGGAUAAAAAAAUACUUAAAAGAUACAAAUACAAUCUAAAUAUAACACGUAAAAAAGAAUGGAAGAAGUAUUAUAUUUUUAAAAAUAAUUAGAAAAAUAAAUAAUUAAUUUUAGGCGUAAAUUAUGAAUAUAUUAUUUUUAAAUUAUUUUUAUAUAUAUUAAAAAUGACAGAUAAAAAUAAAAAUAUAUUUUGAAAUAAUGUAUAAGUAAAAGUGAAUGAAAAGAGUAUCUGUUGCUCCUCGUCCAAAAACUGAGUUAGACUUUGAAAUUUACGAAAUCUUAUAUUGCCAUUUAACCUAUAAUUCAUCUUAAUUAUUGAGUGUAAUAUUAAAUAAUUAUAAAGAUUACUAUGAUAAGUUAUCUAUUAUAAAUAUUGCAUUUUAAAAAGAAUUAUUAAAUUCGUCCACACCGGUAACACUACCUCCGCCCUAUCUCCACAACGUCACUUUCAAUCUUGCAGGGGAAAUAAAAAUGGUUUCUGCAGCAGUUUACACGGUACAGCUGUUAGCCCAUAUGUUAUUGGGCCUUUAGUUUAUGGACCUUUAGGUUAUUGGCUAUGUAUAUAUAUAGCCUACUUUUGUUCUAGUUAGUUUUUAUGCUUUUCAGAUUAUAUUGUAAACCUUAGCCUUUCUUUCUUUCAAUAAAGUUCUAUUAACAUGGUAUCAAAGCUAGUUUGAUCCAUGUCCUUUGAUUUGUUGGUUGAAGAUUUUGUAGCAGGCACCUACUGCGCGGAUCGUUUGCUGUAUUCGUUUACUGUCUGGUAUUGUUCGUCUUUCGUUCUUUUGCUUGCUGCCAUUGUUGUUCGUUCGGAAUUGUUCAACCUAGGGUUUUGCAUCUUUUUGUUUUUUUGAAUUGUUUGUGUGUUGCUGUGUUUACAAUGACUGGAAAGGAUGAUUCUCUCCAGUCCAUUAGUACUCAAUUAGAUGGUAAGAACUAUGCAUAUUGGAGUUAUGUCAUGAAGAAUUUUCUUCGUGGGAAGAAUAUGUGGGGUUAUAUCACUGGAGUAAAACCAAGACCUAUCGAUGAUAAAACUGAAAAUUUUGAUUUGUUGGUGGACUUAUGGGAAACUAAUAACUCCAAGAUUAUCACUUGGAUCAACAAUUCUGUAACUCAGUCAAUUGGUAUGCAAUUGGCUAAGUAUGACACAGCAAAGGAGGUCUGGGAUCAUUUGGAAAGACUGUACACUCAGUCUAAUUUUGCUAAGCAGUACCAGUUGGAGUAUGAUAUCCGUGCUCUUCAACAGCAUGAUCUCAGUAUUCAAGAUUUUUAUGCUGCCAUGUCGGAUUUGUGGGAUCAAUUGGCACUUACUGAAUCUGCAGAGUUAAAAGGUUUUGGGCCGUACAUUGCUAGACGGGAAGAGCAACGCUUGGUUCAGUUUUUGAUGGCACUACGUUCUGACUUUGAGGGCCUACGUGGAACAAUCCUUCAUCGAUCUCCCCUCCCUACUGUUGAUUCUGUGGUUCAUGAACUGAUUGCAGAGGAGACUCGUAUCAAGUCUCAAGUGGAUAAAGGGUCUAAAGUAACUACUACUCCUGUCGUGUUUGCUGCUUCAACUGAUCAGUCUAGGCCACCACGUACUCAGACUCGACAAUCUCCUAAAGUUGCAUUUGAUGAGUGUGCAUUCUGCAAACAGAAAAAUCAUUGGAAGGCUCAGUGUCCGUUGUUACUUAACAAGGUCAAACAGCCUCAAUCUGGGCAGCAACAGAAAUAUGGGCAGCAAAAGUCUCCGUCACGCUCCUCUGGUGCUCCUCCAUGGUCAUCUCGUCCUCCACAGUUCGCUGCUGCUGCACCAUCUGUAGAUGUUGAGUCUGUUAGCACUAUGCCACCUUCUGCGUUGGAUCCCCAGGUUUUCGAACAGUUCAGACAGUUCUUCGUUUCUAAUCCUACGGCCAUGUCAGCAUCUAUGUCUCAUUCGGGUUCAGUUUCUUCUAGUACCUCAGGUAUUCCUUCCUCCUUGUGGAUAUUGGAUUCUGGUGCGUCUCAUCACAUGUCCCCUCAUUUGUCAUCGUUUGGUUCUUUGUCACCCAUUUCACCAAUCUCUGUUAUGUCCGCGAGUGCUGUACCUAUGUCAGUCGAGGGUGUUGGUUCUGUUACUACCCCUCACAUUGUCCUCUCUGAUGUUUAUUACAUUCCCAAACUUGCUUUAAAUCUUGUUUCGGUCAGUCAGUUGUGUAAGGCUGGUAAUUGGGUGUUUUUUUCUGAUUCUGUUUGUGUUAUACAGGACCAACACACUCAGAGGGUGAUUGGGACCGGCCGUAGGUUGGGGGAACUCUAUGUCUUGGAGAAUCUCAAAGUGUCUGUAGUUGCUGCCUCUAGCAUAGAUUUAUCUUCUUUUCGUUUGAGUCCUUUGUCUUCUCAGUUUUAUCUUUGGCAUUCCAGAUUAGGACAUGUGUCAGUUUCACGUUUACGUUUUUUGGUCUCUAGUGGUGCUUUGGGUCAUGUGAACACUAGUGAUAUUUCAGAUUGUAGUGGUUGUAAACUGGCAAAAUUUUCUGCCUUACCGUUUAAUAAAAGUGUGUCUUAUUCUGUUGCUCCUUUUGAUAUUAUUCAUUCUGAUGUAUGGGGACCAGCGCCAGUAUCCACUAAGGGUGGAUCGACCUAUUAUGUUUCGUUUAUAGAUGACUAUACUCGUUAUACCUGGGUGUAUCUUAUGAAACGCAGAUCUGAUUUCUUUGGCAUUUACAACAACUUUAGAGCCCUUGUUAAAACACAACAUUCGGCUGUGAUAAAGUGUUUCAGGUGUGACUUAGGGGGUGAAUAUACCUCUAAUGACUUCACUCAGUUACUUGCCUCUGAUGGUACCAUACACCAGUCAUCUUGUACCGACACUCCUGAGCAGAACGGUCUGGCAGAAAGAAAACAUCGUCAUAUUGUUGAGACAGCACGCUCUUUACUUUUGUCUGCAGAGGUUCCUAGUAUUUUUUGGGGAGAAGCAGUUCUAACUGCUGUAUAUGUGAUUAAUCGUAUUCCUACUGCAUUGACUUCAGGGAUGUCUCCGUUUGAGAAACUAUAUGGUCACCCGCCGAAUUAUUCUGCAUUACGAGUUUUUGGAUGUACUUGCUUUGUUCUUCGUCCUCAUGUUGAACGAAAUAAGUUAGGGUCAAAAUCAGCUAUAUGUGUGUUUUUGGGGUAUGGUAUUGGACAAAAAGGAUAUCGUUGCUAUGAUCCUGUAAGUCAGAAAUUAUAUGUUUCACGACAUGUCACUUUUUUGGAACAUAUUCCUUUUUAUUCCAUUCCAGCUAAAACCCAUGAUGUGACAAAGUCAGAUAUUCGGCUUAUUGAUCCCUUUGGGAUUGACAUAGAGGUUCCAGUUCCGGAUUCAUCCAUGCCAUCUGGUGUGCCACCUGAUAGUGCUUCAGCCUCGCCUGUGCCUGAGUCUGCUCCUUCGACUGUUGAGACUGGAGACCCACCACCUCUGAGGAGGUCUACUCGACCUUGUAAGUCCACCAAACUGCCAGAUUUUUACUAUUCUACAUAUUCAGCCUCAUUUGCUUCCUUUAUUGCAAACAUACAUCAUUUGUCUGAACCUGAGUCGUAUAGAGAGGCUGUGUCUGAUCCUCUUUGGCAGAAUGCUAUGGCUGAGGAACUUGCUGCUCUUCAUCAUACACAUACAUGGGAUUUGGUUACUCUCCCACCUGGUAAGCAUGCGAUUGGUUGUCGAUGGGUGUAUAAGAUAAAAACAAAAUCUGAUGGGUCUGUUGAGCGAUACAAGGCAAGACUUGUGGCAAAAGGGUAUUCACAACAAUAUGGUAUGGAUUAUGAGGAGACUUUUUCCCCCGUAGCAAAGAUGACGACUGUUCGCACUAUGAUUGCUGUUGCAUCCGUUCGACAGUGGAAGAUAUUUCAGAUGGAUGUCAAGAAUGCUUUUCUGAAUGGUGAUCUCCACGCGGAAGUUUAUAUGACUCCUCCCCCAGGUAUUGACCACCAGCCAGGUGAAGUUUGUCGGCUUCGAAAAGCUUUAUAUGGUCUCAAACAAGCCCCUCGUGCUUGGUUUGAGAAAUUCUCCACUGUUAUUACUUCCCUUGGAUUUGUCCCGAGUAACCAUGAUUCAGCAUUGUUUGUUAGAUGUACAAGUGCAGGGCGAAUUCUAUUGUCCUUAUAUGUAGAUGAUAUGAUUAUUACUGGUGAUGAUCAUAGUGGUAUUGAGUUAUUGAAGCAUGAUUUGGCUCAUCGAUUUGCAAUGAAGGACUUGGGCUUGCUGCGUUAUUUUCUGGGUAUUGAGGUGGCUCAGUCUAAGAAAGGGUAUCUUCUUUCUCAGACUAAGUAUAUAUCUGACUUGUUUACACGGGCGCGUCUUUCUGACAACAGGACUGUAGAUACUCCCCUUGAAACCAAUGCACGUUACUCUCCUAGUGAUGGUGUUCCAUUAUCAGAUCCGAGUCUUUAUCGGACUAUUGUGGGUAGUUUGGUUUAUCUUACGGUUACUCGUCCAGAUAUAGCACAUGCAGUUCAUGUUGUUAGCCAGUUUGUUACUGCUCCUACUUCUGUGCACUGGGGAGCUGUACUUCGUAUUCUAAGGUAUCUUCGUGGCACUCAGUUUCAGAAUCUCUUGUUUCCCUCGACGUCAUCUCUCGAGUUGCGAGCCUAUAGUGAUGCUGAUUGGGAUGGAGAUCGCAAUGAUCGUAAAUCCACCACUGGUUUUUGUGUGUUUCUUGGAGACUCUUUAAUCUCGUGGAAGAGCAAGAAACAAGAUGUUGUCUCUAGAUCUUCCACGGAGGCUGAGUAUCGUGCUAUGGCUGUGACUACAUGUGAGAUUAUUUGGUUACGUUGGCUUCUUGCAGAUAUGGGGGUUCACAUUUCUAUGCCUACUCCCCUGCAUUGUGAUAACAAAAGUGCGGUACAAAUUGCAAAGAAUUCUGUCUUCCAUGAGCGUACGAAGCACAUUGAGAUUGAUUGUCACUUCACCCGUCAUCAUUUACAGCUCGGGACCAUAUCGCUUCCUUUUGUUCCAUCGUCUUUGCAGAUUGCUGACCUUUUUACGAAGGCUCAGUCGGCGUCUCGAUUUCGUUUUUUGUGUGACAAACUCUCAAUGCUUAUUGCUGUUGCAUUGUGAGUUUGAGGGAGGAUGUUAGCCCAUAUGUUAUUGGGCCUUUAGUUUAUGGACCUUUAGGUUAUUGGCUAUGUAUAUAUAUAGCCUACUUUUGUUCUAGUUAGUUUUUAUGCUUUUCAGAUUAUAUUGUAAACCUUAGCCUUUCUUUCUUUCAAUAAAGUUCUAUUAACAACAGCAUGUGAAAAAGACGAUGCAGAGAGCCAGAAAUGGCCCUUUGAUUACAAAACAUCAGAAGAGAGAAUUGCAUCUACUUUACGACGAAUAUAAUGCUUCUCGACUUCCACCUCACCUAAACUUAUCGAAAAACAAACUAAAGCAUAAUUAUCUACUAACAUUUUAUACUAAUCCAUAAACUUUAUGAUGGUAUAAUAUGCCACAGAUUACAAUAGUUACAAUUAAAAUAAUAAAAUAAAUAAAAAAAGAAAAUACUAUAAUCUCCUUUUUUGCUGAGGUACAGAUGUCUCGCUCAUUUAAGCCCGCCGCGACAUAAUCUAUAUAGUCCCCUUCAAGUUACAACAGCCCAUCAGAUGUACAACUCAAAUAACUUCGGAUUAGUUGAAGAGUCCAAAGCUCCGCCAUAAGAAUACAUUCCUUCAACAUAUAUUUACUCUCUUUGUAUAGUGAAUAUAGUUAAAGAUUUAUUAUAUUUUCUUCGUCUCAAUUCUUUAUUUCACUAAUAUAAUUAUUUUCUUUUGUAUAGUGAAUAUAGUUGUAGACUUAGAAUAUUUUCUUUGUCUCAACUCUCUCUUUCAUCACUACACACUAUAAUUUUUUUCACAAUCAUAUUUUCUUGUACAUGCAAGACUACCUCUAUUUAUAGGUGAGGUAUUCAUCCUUGUAUUGAAUAAGAAGAAUAAAAAGGGAUGGUAAAAAGGAAAAAUCAAGUCUUUAGGUUACAAGAGUUAUAAGAAAUAAUGGCACUAAUAGUCAUGAAAGUUACAAUAAAAUAAUGAGAGAAGUUACAAAUUACUAAAGUCAUAUUUUACCACCAUUAACAAUUAGAGUAAUAUGAGUAGAUAAAUAGUCUUGUUUUUACAUAUGUUACAUGCAACUAAUACAACUAAUAGUUAUAUGAGUUACACGACAUAAUGUGGUAUAUUAUGGAUAAAUAAAAUGUUAGAAGUUACAUGAGUUAGCAAAAUAUAAUGACACCACUUUCCCCACUUUAUAUUCAUAAAUUAUCAUGCAAAUUAAGAUUUUAAUAUUAAAAUGCACAAUAACACCAACACUUUAAAUUGCAUAUAAAAAUUAUGACAUUACAAAAAAAUGAGUCACUGUCUUAAUUCGUGAUCUUCAUAUCCUCCCAUCUAAUACACUUCUAGAAAAAAAAAAUAGCACUGAAUGGCCAUAAAAACAUGGCCCAAAUUUGACCAUAGUUUAAAAAAAAAAAACUGUAAUGACCAUUCUCUUUUAAAACAAACUAUUUUUGUUUUCUUUUUUUAAAUAAAAAAAUUAAAAUCUUUGUUAUUCCCUAAACUUAAAAGUUAAUUCCCGCAUUGAAAAAUGGUAAUAAAUAAAACAUAAUUAUUAUGAUCGUUCAUGAGAUUUAAUUUCAAAUUCUCAAUAUAUAAAUGAUUAAUGUUGAACACUUUAUAAUAUGAAUAUACUUUCUAAAUUUUAAAAUGAAAUACUUACACAUGUACUUUGAUAAUUUUAUAAUUACACCUCCUAUGAAGUGUCUCUAUAAUUGAAUAUAUAAUAUAAUUAUUAAAUGAUAAAUUAUAACCAUAAACAUAAAUAAAAUAUUUUUGAGAAGUUAUUCUAACAAAAUUUUAAAACAAGGGUAAAAAAUAAUUAUUCGAUAUUAUACAACUUAUUAAAACAUACCCAUUAUAAAUAAUUUUCUAUGGCUUUAAAUACGUAAUUUGUUUGUAAUUUUAUUUAACUAUAAUAUUUCAUUAUAUAUAAUAUUACAAAGUGGCUAGGAAGGAGGCUAAGUUAGCAGUUACGACUGCUAAGAUAACAUCGAUUUUUUUUUUUGAAAAAAAGGAUAUUAUACAACUUAUUAAAACAUACCCAUUAUAAAUAAUUUUCUAUGGCUUUAAAUACGUAAUUUGUUUGUAAUUUUAUUUAACUAUAAUAUUUCAUUAUAUAUAAUAUUACAAAGUGGCUAGGAAAGAGGCUAAGUUAGCAGUUACGGCUGCUAAGACAACAAUGUUUGAGAGCCUGUAUGUGGGGUUAGAGAAGAAAGAUGGGGAAAAAAGAUUGUAUAGGCUGGCUAAAGUUAGGGAGCGGAAGGGUCGUGACCUAGAUCAAGUAAAAUGCAUUAAGGGGGAGGGUGACAGAGUUUUGGUGGAGGAUGUUGACAUUAAGAGGAGAUGGCAGGAGUAUUUUCAUAGACUGUUGAAUGAGGAGGGGCUCAGAAGCAUUAAGUUAGGAGAGCUGGAGCACUCGGAGGAAAAUCAAAAUUUCAGUUAUUGUAGACGCUUUAAGGUUGAGGAGGUCAGAGAGGUUAUCCGCAGGAUGCGGAGGGGUAGGGCGACGGGGCCUGACGAAAUUCUGAUGGAUUUUUGAAAGUUUUCUGGUGGAGCAGGUUUAAAGUGGUUGACUGAUUAUUUAACGACAUUUUCAAGACUGCGAAAAUGUCUGAGGCUUGUAGAUAGAGUACAUUGAUUCCGUUAUAUAAAAACAUGGGUGACAUUUAGAGUUGCAACAACUAUAAGGGUAUGAAGCUGUUGAGUCACACAAUGAAGAUUUGGGAGAGGAUGGUUGAGCGAAGAUUGAGGAGGGUCGUGUCCAUUUCGGAGAAUAAGUUUGGAUUUAUGCCUGGUCGCUCGACGACAAGGGCAAUACACCUGGUGAGGAGAUUGGUGGAGCAGUAUAGGAAAAGGAAGAGGGAUUUACACAUGGUGUUUAUCGACCUGAAGAAGGCGUAUGACAAAGUCCCUGGGAAGGUUCUUUGAAGAUGCUUGGAGGUGAGGGGAUCUCGGUGGUGUACAUCAGAGCCAUUAAGGAUAUGUACGAUGGAGGAAAAACUCGGAUAAGGACGGUGGGAGGAGACUUAGAACAUUUUUUGGUUGAGAUAGGGUUGCAUCAGGGAUCGACUCUCAGUUCGUUUAUGUUUACGUUGGUGAUAGACGUGUUGACGCGGAGUAUUCAGGUUGAGGUGCCUUGGUGUAUGUUAUUUGCAGAUGAUGUAGUGCUGAUUGAUGAGACGCGGGGGUAUGUGAAUGAAAAAUUGAAGGUCUGGAGGCAAAACCUUGAAUCUAAGGGGUUCAAGUUGAGUAGGUCCAAGACGGAGUAUAUGGAAUGCAAGUUUACUGACUUAAAGCAUGAGGACGAAGUGGUGGUGAGGUUGGAUUCCCAGGUAGUUUGUAAGAGAGAUAGUUUUAAGUAUUUUGGGUCUAUGAUUCAAUAAAACGGAGAGAUUGAUGAGAAUGUAUCUAAACGUAUUGGAGCAGGAUGGAUGAAGUAGAGGCUCGCCUCGGGAGUGUUGUGUGAUAAGAAGGUGCCCUUAAAGCUUAAAGGCAAUUCUACAGAGGCGCAGUCUGGUCGUCCAUGCUAUAUGGUGCGGAGUAUUGGCCAGUCAAGAACUCCCAUAUUAAAAAAUUGAAAGUAGCGAAAAUGAGAAUGUUGUGUUAGAUGUGUGGACUUACUAGUGGGGAUAGAUUUAGGAAUGAGAUUAUCCAGGAGAAGGUGGGAGUGACUUCGGUGGAAGAUAAGAUACGGGAAUGAAGGCUGAGAUUGUUUGGGCAUGUGAUGAGGAGGGAUACGGAUGUCCCAAUUCGUAGGUGUGAUAGCUAGCUUUGGAUGGUUUUAUGAGGAGUAGAGGUAGGUCAAAGAAAUAUUGGAGAGAGGUGAUUAGACAUGACUUGGAGCUGUUACAGCUUACUAAGAAAAUGGCCCUAAAUAGGAAGGUGUGGAGGUCGAGGAUAAGGACAGAAGGCUAGUGCGUGUGUGGGUUGUAACUAGUAGUUAGGGAGCUCUUGCGUAGUCGGGUUAGGAACCCUAGGACUGUGUCUAUUGGUAAGAGCCGCUAGUGUAUGCUACUACUAGGUGGGUGACCUUUUCUUAUUCCUUAUUUCCUAUCUCUUAUUUUCGUAUUGCUCCCAUUUUUUGUGUCUCUCUUAUUUCCACUUUUACUAUUUCCUAUUUCUUUUUCGAUUACGCUACCCAUCCAGUUUCAUGUUUUACUAUGACCUUGAUACCUAUUCUUCAUCUUGAGCCGGGGGUCUAUCAAAAACAACCUCUUUAUUUCUUCGAAGGUAGCGGUAUGAACUGCGUACAUUCUACCCUUCCCAGACUCCACUUGGUGGGAAUACACUGGGUUUGUUGUUGUUGUUGUUGUAUUUCAUUAUAUAUAAUCACUUUUUUAUUGUAGUUUUUAUUUAUUUUUCCCUUUAAAGUUAUUUUAUCUAGAACUACUUAAUAAAGUUUCAAUUAUGUAGGAUUUUCAUUAUAUGCAAGGUUUAAAUGUUUGUAGCAAAAAUAGGAAUAACAUUUCUAGGGAAUGUAACCGUAAGAUUUUCAUAACACAGAAGAUUUAAGUGUUUAGUGUAAUUGACUAGGGUCAAUAAUUAUAAAUUAUAUGAUUUUUAGGAUGUUGAUGUCUGCCAUUUCUAAAAUGUUUUGAGCUUUGAUUAUCUUUAUUGAUAUAUUUUAAAAUUAAAUAUUUAAAUAUGCAGUUUUUAAAUUUAUUUAAACAUACUCCCUUUCGUUUUAUUUUAUUUUACACAAUUUAACAUGACACAUUAAUUAAGAAAAAUAAUUAAUAACAUGGCUAGUUUACGAUUGUAUCCCUAUUAAAUAAUAUUUAUAUUUUAAUUUGAAGAAAAAUAAUUAAUGAAAAAGGUAAACAUGGAAAAAAAUUAUCUCUUUUUGAUUUGUGGAAAAUGAUAAGUAAAAUGAGAAAUCAAAUUAGAAAAUUUGUGACAAGUAAAAUGAAACGGAGGGAGUAAUAAAUAAUAAAAUUACUUAAUUAGAGGUCUCAUUAAUUACAAUUUUAACUAGUGAUUCACAAGUUAUCAAAUCGGCUUAGUAUAGGGGCACAAGACUACAACAUUAGUCCGUGAGUAUUCUUUUAGGUUGAUGUUAACCAGGGUCAUCAAAUUAUUUAAAUUUUUAUUUUAUUUUUUAAAAGAUGAUAGCUAAGAAAUAUGUAAACUUUCACAUUUUUUUGGUAAAUAAACUAUUUUAUUUAACCAAGUGAACAUUUACAACCAAGAAGCUAUAAAACUUCAAAAUUAAUGCGUGACUCUCUUAGGUUGUUAUAAAAUAGGAUUGACACUUAUGAAUCAUAUGAAUUUUAUGAUUUAUAUAGAGUGAUGAUUUCUACCAUAUCUAAAGUGUUUUUAGUUUCAAAUGUCGUUAUUAUAUUAUUUUUAAAUUAUUUUUAGAUAUUUAUUUAAAUAUAUAUUUUAAAUUUAUUUAAACAUGAUAAUUUAUAAAAUUAUUUAAUUAGAAGUCAUAAUAAUAACAAAUAUAAGUAACGAUUCUCAAAUUAUCAAAUCGGUGUAACAUAUGAUCGCAAGACUACAAUAUUAAUGUGUCUCUCUUGGGUUGUUGUGAACUAGAGUCAACACUAUGAAUAAUUUGAUUUUUAUAACUUAUUGAUGUCCACAUCUAAAGUGUUUAAGUUUUGACUACUGUUAUUAAAAUAUUUUCAAACUAUAUUUAAAAUAUCAUUCAAAUAUGCAAAAUUUUAGAUUUAAAAUUGAACUAAUAAAAUAUGCCCAAAUAUAAGUAAUGAUUCACAAAUUAUCAAGCCAACAUAGCAUAGAGGUGCAAGACUACAAUAUUGAUCACGACUUUCUUAGAUUGAUAUGAACUAGGGUUGAUACUUAUGAAUAUAUAUUUUUUACGAUCUCUAAGAUACAUUGAUGUCUUCCAUGUUUAAAGUGUCUACAAUUUUAACUUUCGUUAUUAAAUAUUUUCGAUUAAAAUUAAAAUUUUUGUUAUUAUGUUUAAAUAAAAUUAAAAUAGGUAUUUGAAUAAUUGUCAGACAUAAUUUGUAAGAUAUUUCAAUAACAACAACUCAGCAUACUUUAGACCUGAUAAAUGUUGUCACAUUAUAGAAAUCAUACAUAUAGUUCACAUCCGUCGAACCAAAGAUAGUAAGAUAUAAGUGUUGACCAUACAAGUCUUUCGCCUUUAUGUUACGCCAAUUUGAUAAAUUGCAGAUCGUUAGCUAUAUGUAUUACUAAAUUAACCUCCAAUUAAUUAGUUUUUAAUUAUUAUAUUUAAAUAAAAUUAAGCUAUAUAAUUAAAUAUUUUUUAAACAUAAUUUGUGAAAUAUUUCUAUAACUACAACUCAACACUCUCUAGAAUUUGUAAAUGUCGACACAUUAUAAAAAUCAUGCAUAUAGUUCAUAUGUGUCAAACCAAAAAGAGUGACACAUAAGUGUUGAUCGUACAAGUCUUUCGCUUCAACGUUACGCCAAUUUGAUAAAUUAUGAAUCAUUACUAUAUUUGUUACUAAAACGACCUCUAAUUAAUUAGUUUUUAAUUAUUAUCUUAAAACAAAAUUAAACUAUAUAUCUGAAUAAUUUAUAAAAAUAAUUUGUGAAAUAUUUCAAUAACGACAACUCAUCAUACUUUAGAACUGGUAAAUGUUAACACACUAUAAAAAUCAUUCAUAUUGGCCAUAUGCGUCGAACAAAAAAGAGUGAGACACAAGUGUUGAUCCACAAGUCUUUUGCCUCUAUGUUACGCCGAUUUGAUAAAUUAUAAAUCAUGACUUAUAUUUGUUAUUAAAAUGACCUCUAAUUAAUUAUUUUUUAAGAAUUAUGUUUCAAAAUUAAAAUAUACAUUUAAAUAAUUCUCAAAUAUAAUUUAUAAGAUAUUGUAAUAACGACAACUCAACAUACUUUAGACCUGAUAAACGUCGUCACAUUAUAGAAAUCAUGCAUAUAGUUCACAUCUGUCGAACCAAAGAGAGUGAGAUAUAAGUAUUGAUCAUACAAGUCUUUCACCUUUAUGUUGCACCAAUUUGACAAAUUGCAAAUCUUUACUUAUAUAUAUUACUAAAUUAACCUCCAAUUAAUUAUUUUUUUAUUAUUAUAUUUGUCAUACCCUAUUUUUACCUAAAGUCAAAACGAGCACGACAUUAUGGACUCUAAAAGAAUAAAUUUUGUACAGAGUUGCCACCUAAUUUUUAAGGAAAAUUAGAAAACCUAUUUAAUUAUUAACAAUUAUGACAUUAUUUUAAUCCGUAAAACCAAUUUAGAUUCUAGGUAAGGGUUCAAAUUAUUUCGAAGGGAAGGUAUUAGGCACCCUUCAGAAUCCACAAAUGUAAUUCCCGACCAGACUUAAAUUUUUUACAAGGCGAAGGAAAAAAUCAAUGCUUAUAAAUAAAAUCUAAAAUAUACAGUAAAAUAAUAUAAACUAUUUGCAUAUAAAGAAUGUAUAAAUUACAUAAAUAAUUGUAUAUAAAAAAUGUGUGAAGAUGAUCGGAAGUAUAUAAGAAUAUGUAUGGAAACAAAAAAAAAAUGAAUAAAAAAAAUAUUUUAAAGAAAAAAAUUACGCAAUAUUUUUAAAUGUAUAAGUAUGAAUUAAUUGAUUACAUAUCUAAAUUAAUUUAAUUUUUUGAUAAAUAUUAAUGACCUAAAUUUGUCUAAAUACGCGGUAAAGAUUGUAUAAGUUAAAGCAUUCCCGCCCAAUGCCCCAAAAAUAAAGUUUUCAGUAUGAUAAUAUUUGUACAAAUAUAAGAAUAUAAAAAUACAACGCAAAAUUUAAAAUCUUCCUUGAAUGCCACUCCCAAUGAAUUCUCCUAAUAACCUGUAUAAAUAAACACUUGUAAUAAAAAUGUUAGUAACAAAUAAAUAAUUAUCAAACAAAUAAGAAGAUGUGUGUGCAUAUAUGUAUAAAAAAUAAAAAAUUUCAGUAAAAAAUGUGGGCUCAGAAGAUUUUAGGUAUGUCAUGGCUACAAAGUGGUUGCUCGAUUUAUUAGCCGUCCUAAAUCAUCUUGCCAAGAUACGAAUCAUAAAACUUUUACGUUGUUAUAAAAAUUUUGUCAUAGCCCAAUUUAUUUAUUUUAUUACGUAUUUAUAUACUUAAUAUCAGUCUUUUUAUUUGUGCAAGCCUCAAAAAUCGACGAAAAAUUUCUUGAUCGGUCAACUAGUGUAGUAUUUUAUUCAUUAUCAAUAUAACCGCAAAGUCAGUAAAUAAAAUGGAUGAAAUCCUCCAAAUUUAGGGUCCGUUUGGCCAUGGAUAUAUUUUUUUUUUUUGGAAUUUUUUUUUUCGGAGUUGAAAAUUAUGAUGUUUGGCCAUGAAAAUUUGGAAAACAAUUCUGAAAUUAAAUUCCGAAAAUGGAAAACAACGUUUUGUUGUUUUCCAUUUUUUUCACUCCAAUUUCAACUUCCAUUAUUAUUACAUAUAACCCCAAUCUUUAAUUUUUUACACAAAACCCUCUUAUUAACUAAAUUUCAUAUUUUUUUUAAAAAGACCAAAUUCAUUAAAAUAAUUAAUUCAAGUGAAAAUAAUUAAGAAUUUUCAUCAACAAAUUUAAUAAUAUAUAAAAUAUAUUUAUAUCUAUCAAUCAUAUUUAUCAAAAUAUGUUUUUUCUCUAUUCAAUCGAUUAUGGUUAGAUAAACUUAUUUAGUUCGUACUUGUGAUUUUUUUUUUUUCAAAUUAUAGAAGAAUAACAAUCAUAAUAAUUAGUUUGUUGUUAAUUAUUUUAUCAAUUGAAGACAUAUAUAAAUUAUUUUCUCAACAUUUGGUUGUGUAUUAGAAGGUAAAUUAGUAGUUGAGUGAUUUUGAUAAUUUUUAAAAGUUGACGGUAUAAAAUCAUAUUUUAAAAAGAUUUUUCAAAAGUUUAAAUUUUUUUAAAAAAAGACAUGGUCAAACACAACUCCAACUCCAACUUCAUCUCCAUCUCCAUCUCCAACUCCAACUCCAACUCCAAAAAAAAAAAAAUUUUCAUGGACAAACGGUUACUUAAUUCCCAAAGAAUGCGAACCAGUAGCAGAAUAUAUAAAAAAUUAUGCCAAAUCAAUCCAAAAUAAUUCUGAUAAAAAGGAAAAUAAACUAAGUAGUCGUUUAGCCAUGAAAACUCAAAUUUUCUGGUAUUGGAGUUGAAGUUGGAGUUGAAAUUGGACUUGGACUUGGAGUUGUCUUUGGCCAUGUCUUUUUUUUAAAAAAAAAAAUUGACUUUUGAAAAAACUUUUUUAAAUAUGAUUUUAUGCCUUAACUUUUACAAACUAUCAAAAUCACCCAACUAAAAUUUACCUACUCAUGGAAAAAGAAUAUAAUUAGCCAUUAUUACAAAAAUAAUUAUAUAUACAUGGCCAUAUUUAAUGAAUUUCAAUUAUGGCAUAUAUAAUAUUUACAUUAAUAGCCGUUUUCUCAUAUUUGAAAAUUUUAAAUAUGAAUGUUAUAUUAACAGAUAAUAGCCGUUUUCUCAUAUUUGAAAAAUUUAAAUAUGAAUGUUAUAUUAACAUAUCACUGCUUCCUGUUUUUUAGAUAACAAAUAUUAUCUUUCAAACAAAUUUAUUUUUUUUAGAAAUUUAUUUAAUUUAUUUCCUUCAUUUUUCGUUCCUAAAAAAAUAGGAAAUGAUGAGUUGUUAUUAAAUUUUAGGGUGCCGCUAAUUUAUUUCUUUAAUUUUCUUAUAAAUGAAAGAUUUUACUGUGUGGAAUAAAUUAUUUCUAUGUAAAACAUGUUUUGCAUAUUUAUGGUAUAUUAUAUCAUAUACCAUAAAUAUAUAAAUAUGUUUAGUAUGUUUCUUUAUACUUUGUGUAUUUAUAUAUGUAUGUAUAUGGUAUAUACAUGGCAUAAAUUUCAUAUAUAACAUAUUUUGUAUAUUUAUGUUAUAAAUAUGCUUAGUAUGUUUCUUAAUAUUUUGUAUAUUUAUAUAUGUAUGUAUAUAGUAUAUACAUGGUAUAAACUUUAUAUAUAACAUGUUUUGUAUAUUUCCGUUAUAAAUAUAAUAAUUUAUAUAUUUAUGGGUAUAAAUAUAAUACUUUAUAUAUUUAUGGAUAUAAAUAUAAAUUAACAGUAAAAUAAUAUCUUAAAUAAGGGAUAAAAAUAAUGAUGAGAGAGAAAAAGAGAUAUAUAUUAAUUAAGAUAGCAUUAAGUUUGAAAUUAUAAUUAUCUUAUUCUUUAAAACUGCUACAUACGUAAUAUUGAAAAAAUAAUGUUAUAAGGAGAGUUUUAUGUAAAAAUUUAAAAUAUUGGGAUUAUAUGUAAUAAUAAUAAAAGUUGAAAUUAGAGUUGAAAAAUUGUGAAAACAACAAAAACCUAUUUUCACUUUUCAAAAAAUUUUUUCGAAAUUAUUUUUCAAAUUUUCAUGGCCAAACAUCACAAUUUCCAACUCCAAUUUUUUUUUUCUGAAAAAAAGAAAAAAAAUUCAUGGCCAAACGGGCCCUAAAUGAAUUAGCAGAAGGCAACUCAUAAAACAACAACAAACAUGUAGUAGCUGUUUGGCCAUGAAAAUUAAAAUUUUUCGAAGUUGGAGUUAAAGUUGGAGUUGGAAUUAUGUUUGACCAUGUCUUUUUUGAAUUUUUUUUUUUGACUUUUGAAAAAACUUUUUAAAAUAUGAUUUUAUGUCCUAACUUUUACAAACUAUCAAAAUCACCCAACUAAAAUUUACUAACUAAUGAAAAAGAACAUAAUUAGUUAUUAUUAUAAAAAUAAUUACAUAUAUAUGGUCAUAUUUAAUGAAAUUUAAUUAUGACAUAUAUAAUAUUUAUAUUAAUAAUCGUUUUCUCAUAUUUGAAAAUUUUAAAUAUGAAUGUUAUAUUAACAGAUCACUGCUUUCUGUUUUUUAGGUAACAAAUAUUAUCUUUCAAAUAAAUUUAUUUUUUUAGAAAUUUAUUUAAUUUAUUUCCUUCAUUUUCCAAUCCUAAAAAAUAGAAUAUGAUGAGUUGUUAUUAAAUUUUAGGGUGCCGCUAAUUACUUCUUUAAUUUUUUUAUACAUGAAAAAUUUUACUGUGUAUAAAUAAAUUAUUUCUAUGUAAAAUAUGUUUUGCAUAUUUAUGGUAUAUUAUAUCAUAUACCAUAAAUAUAUAAAUAUACUUAGUAUGUUUCUUUAUACUUUAUAUUUUUAUAUAUGUUUUUAUAUGGUAUAUACACGAUAUAAACUUCAUAUAUAACAUAUUUUGUAUAUUAAUAUUAUAAAUAUACUUAAUAUGUUUCUUAAUACUUUGUAUAUUUAAUAUGUGUAUAUGAUAUAUACAUGAUAUAAACUUUAUAUAUUUCUAUUAUAAAUAUAAUACUUUAUAUAUUUAUGGAUAUUAAUAUAAUACUUUAUAUAUUUAUAGAUAUAAAUAUAAAUUAGCAGUAAAAUAAUUUUUUAAAUAAGAGAGAAAAUUAAAUAGGAGAUAAAAAUAAUGAUGAGAGAUAAAAGAAGAUAUAUAUUAAAUAAGAUAACAUUAAGUUAGAAAUUAUAAUUAUAUUAUUCUUUAAAACUGUUAUAUACUUAAUAUUGAAAAAAUAAUGUUAUAAAGAAAAUUUUACAUAAAAAUUUAAAAGAUUAAGAUUAUAUGUAAUAAUAAUAAAAAUUAAAAUUGAAAUUAAAAAUUUAUAAAAACAACAAAAAUCUAUUUUCUUUUUUCAGAAUUUUUUUUUGGAAUUAUUUCUCAUCAAACACCACAAUUUUCAACUCCAAAUUUUUCUUUUUGUUAAAAAAGGGAAAGAUUUACAUUUCCAAACGGGCCCUUAGUGCACUUACCAGAUCAUCAGAGCACUAUUCUUUCCGAAAAUAAAUCAAAACACAAGAAAUAAACUAUAGCCAACCAAAUCAGGGUAACAAGAUAUGCAAUAGCACAUAAACCAGUAGAAACUCAAUUCAAGGGAGUGUAUUUUCGACGAACAACAAUUAUAAACGGAGAAGGAAGUGGCGUUGCUUCCAUAGCUUUGGCCGGGGCAACGCCAUAUGUACAAAGCUCCGGUCAGAUCGGGCCCAACAAUGGUACAACAACAAUGAGGGGGAGCAGCGGGUGGUGGAGGAAGAUCCGAGGUUGAACUCCGGUGGUUGUUUGGUUGUGAUUCCGGCCAGAUUUGGACGGAGAAGAUAGAAGAAGAGAUUGGGGUAUGUUGGUAUGGUUGUCGGAGCCGUUUGGGGAUGGAGAAAGGAGGAAGAGAGUGGUAAUUUAUGGUGGCUGGUCGGCGGGCUGGUGGAUGUUUCGCCGGUGUUGGUGACUCGUGGUGGUGCGGCGCGGCUGGAGAGGGGGAAAAGAAGAGGGAAAGGGGAGAAGGGGACUGGUUGGUGGAGGUUACCGUGGUGGCCGGAGCUCCGGCGGUAAAGGGCGGCAAGGGAAAGGGGGGAAAAGGAGAAAAAAUACGGGAGAUGAGAGAGAGACUGACGUAUGGAAUCUGAUAUUUGUGUGUGUAUUGUGUGUGUAUAUUGUGUAUUUUUAUUUUUUCUCAAAAAUAAUAAAUAUCCCUCCCAUUCUUUUAUAAUAUAAAGUGACCCCUUUUAUUAUCCAAAAAAAUGAAGAAUUAACCCCUUUUUGUCUCCCUAAUGCAUGAUUUAAACCACGGAUUAUUAUCUUAUGGAUUUUUCACCUUUUAAACUAAAAUAUAUAAAAAAAAUUAUCCAAAAAAUAAAAAUCUCAAUUCGUCAUCUUAAGUGUUUAAAAGUAACGAGGCCUUGACUUGAUUGAUUUGUUUCUCUGUGUAUUAAAAUAAUUAAACUGACUCACAUUUGCAUGCAGAUCAUAUUAAAUAAUGUAUAAAGUAAUGAAUAUCGAUAUAUAAUUACUGAAAAAUAUAAACAACAAAUAAAAAGUAUAAUUAUCUUGAAAAAAAUAUAUUAUGCUAUAAAUAAUUAAAAUUAUAUUAUGCAAUAAAAAAUUACAAUGCUGUGUACGUAUGUAAAUAACUGGGCAAAAAAAAAUUAAAAUAAUAAUAAAAUGAUAAGAAUUCUAAAAUUUAUGAAAUUAAAGAUAAUUAUCAAUAAAUUAUGUAAAAUUAAAAUAUGAAAAUAAAUGUGUAAAAAAUUUUAAAAUAAUGAUGAUUAUCAAUAAUUUAUUAACAAUUGCAAAAAUAAGUGAAAAAUUGUAUAUUGUGCCAUUUAACGAUCAGAGAGCCUAUAUACGUUAAUUUAAGUAUGGAGAGUCAAAAUUAGGUGUCAAUAGUUUGCCCCUUUUCGUUUGAAGAUAAUGUAGAAGUCUUCAAACGAAAACGUUGAUGUGUAGCCAAUUUUGCUCGACAAAAAAAUAUUUUUAAUAAAAAAAUUCUAGUGAACUCCAAUUUGGAUUUGCCUACAUUUUUUGAGUUGCUUGAGAAACAGGUUGGGUAUAGCUCAAAAGCUAUCCCAGUAUGUCCUACUUUUGGUUGGACAAACCCAAUACUUUCGCGAAUUCUAUGCUGCAAAAAUUUACAAAACUAAAAAACAACAGAUAAACUGGUAAUUAAGCUGAAUUUUAUUUUUCAAGAAAUGUAAAAAUAAAUAAACAAAGACAUUACAAGAUUUUAACCAAAGACAAGUAAAAUAUUCAAUUAAAAAUAAAAAUUACAUAAAGAUCUUAUUAGGGAGCAGAUUAACCCAAAAUAUUUCAUUUUAGGGUGGACGGACCUAAUUUAUCAUCAAAUGAUAUGCUUGCAAGUGCAUCAAACUAGGAAGUACUUCUUAAUAAAACAUAAACGAAAAAUUUAACUUGAUUUUCUUUUUUCCUUUUUAAAGAAAUUAAAGAUAACAUGCAGUGCUUAACUAAUUAAGAAAAAUUGUACAGAAAAAGAUAACAUUUAGUGCUUAAAUUGUAAAAAUAAGUACAUUACAAUAUUUACAGGUAAAAACAAAGCAUGCAGUGUUUAAAUAAGAAGGUAAACGCAUUGCAAUGUGCAAAUAAAUGUAAAGAUGACAUGUGGUGCUUAAAUUAUAAAACAAAUAUAUUGUGAUAUGUGCAAGAAAAAGCCAAGAUGACAUGCAGUGCUUAAAUGAUAAAAUAAAUAUAUUACGAUAGUUGCGAGGCAUGCGGUGCAUAAAUGAUAAAAUGCAUUGUGAUAUGUCGUGCAGUACUUAAAUAAAAAAAAAAAAUGCAUUGCGAUAUGUGUCAGCAAAGACAAAAUGAUAUGCAUUGCUUGAAUGAUGAAAAUAAAUACAUUGCGAUAUUUACGAGGCAUGCGGUGCUUAAAUGAUAAAAUGCAUUGCGAUAUAUGCGUGCAGUGCUUAAAUAAGAAAAAUAAAUGCAUAGCGAUAUGUCAAUAAAGGCAAAGAUGACAUGCAGUGUUCAAAAGGUGAAAUGAAUGCAUUGCGAUAUUUGCGAAGCAUGCAGUGCUUAAAUGAUAAAACGCAUUGUGAUAUGUGCGUGCAGUGCUUACAUGACGAAAUAAAUGCAUUGUAAUAUUUGCGAGGCAGCAGUGCCCAAAUGAUAAAAUAAAUGCAUUGCAUUAUGUGCGUGCAGUGCUUAAAUGCAGAGCAAUAUGCGAUGAUAAAAGUAAGAAUGGGAUGCAAUGCUGAAAUGAUAAAAUAAACACAUUGCGAUAAGUGCGAGUAAAGGUAAGAAUGACAUACGAUGCUUGAAUAAUAAAAUAAAUAAAUACAUUGCGAUGCGUGCAAGUAAAGAUAAGAAUAAAAUGCGGUGCUUAAAUGAAUAAAUGCAGUGCGGUAUACUGCCAACAAAGACAAAGAUAACAUGCAGUACUUAAAUAAUGAAAUAAAUGCAUUACAAUAUUUGCGAGGCAUGCAGUGCUUUGAUAACAAAAUGCAUUGCGAUAUGAGCCAGUAAAGGCAAAGACGACAUGCAGUGCUUAAAUAAUAAAAUAAAUGUAUUGCGAUGUGCAAGUAAAGAUAAAGCUAGCAUGUAGUGCUUAAAAGAUAACAUAAAUGCAUUGCAAUGUGUGAUGCAUUGCAAUGUGUGCAAAUAAAGAUAAAAAAAAUGUGCAGUGCUUAAAUGCAUUGCAAUGCGUGCAAAUAAAAGUAAGAAUAAAAUGCGGUGCUUAAACGAUAAAAUAAACGCGUUACGAUGCGUGCAAAUAAAGACAAAGAUAAAAUACAGUACUUAAAUGAUAAAAUAAAUGCAUUGCGAUAUGUGUCAGCAAAGGCAAAAAUAGCGUGCAGUGUUAAAUAAUAAAAUAAAAUACAUUGCGAGAUGUGCAAAUAAAUAAAUACAGUGCUUAAAUAACAAAUGAUAAAAAAAAAUACAUUGUGAUGCGUGCAAGUAAAGCAAAGAUAGCACACAAUGCAAAAAAAAAAGUAAAUAUGUGUAAGUAAAGACAAGCAAGUAUAAAUAUUAAAUUAAAAAAAAGCGUGUACACUGUCUUUUGGAGGGCAGACCGACCCGAUUAUCCUAUUUUAGGGUGGAUAAAUCCAUGUAAAAAAAUAAAUAUUAAGCAAAGAAAUAUUUGGGAAUGAAAGUAUUCACAUAUUCUCGAUGCUGCUUUCAAAAUUGCCCCAGUAUCAAGUUGUAAGAUGCUGGGGAAUGCAAGAUCGUGUACUUGCUGGGGAGAAAGAAUAUUUAUGGAUUGUGACGACCGAACUCUGCGUAGAACUUCCUACAUAUCUCGAAUGUUAUGAGAAUCAGGCCAAUGUAGUUCGAAAUAAGAAAAUAAAGUAAAUUUUGAGGUGGAUUCUUAAAAUUUGCUCCAGUGUAUGAUAUAUGGCUAACACUGUCUCUUUGAAAAAAAAAAACUUAAAAAGAUGUACGACGUCUCCCGAUUGUCUAUGGGGACUUGAAAAUGAAUGAAGUCUUUGAUUAUCUACGAAGAUUGAGGUACUCAGCUAGUGAGGUGACUGAAAUCUAAUAGCCUCUCGAUUGAUAUGGCUAUAAAAAAUGUAAAAAAUACUUAAAUGGGCGCCUAACUACAAAAUAAAAUGCCGGUAUUUAAAGGCAUGUCUUUGAAAGAAAAAAUCAAAUAUCCUUAUUUGAAAAUUAGGUACUUUAAAUAAAAAGUAAAAAUGCAUUUAUGUUAAAGUCGACAUCUUGAAUGAAAGGUAAAAAAGGAUGUCCGUAUGUUAAAGCGGACGUCUUUAAACAAAAGAAAAAUAUUGUAUUUUUUAGUUAAAAAUGCUAAAAGAUGAAGAAGACACAAUCGUGUUUUGACUUCAGUUGGUACCAAUAAUUAGUAGUGUGCAUAAGAAUUCUCCCAUCUCCUUUUCAGCUAACCGAGAUCAACUUCAGGGUAACUUUUAUAGUUUCAAGUGGUACCUCAGAUACGCCUAAGUAUCGACAAGAUUUGUUCGUCUUGUUCCAAAUAAAGAUUUUAAACUAUGUCUAUUCUUAUAUUUCAAGUGCCCAAUCCAGAAAGAAAGUCUCAUUUCGUACAUAUUUGAGUAAUUUUCUUUUUAAAUUUGGACAAAUCUAGAGAAAUACACUCACACACAGAAAGAAUUCAAUGCAUGUAAUUGUGAUACCAUAGGCUUGACCUCCAUGUAAGUAUCCACUAAUGUGAGAACGCUUGAAAUAGGAUCUCGUAGUACUUUAUAUCAGCUUGUAAUGUAGGCUUGAGGACGGGUAGAAUAAUACUUGGGAUAAAAGUGACUAAUCCCUCAAUGAGCAUUACACUGCAUUUGUGCUUUCAACAUUUGUUGUGCUUUGACGCAUGAUCUUUUAGUUGUGCUUCGUUGUCUCUUGCUUUGCAUUUGCUUCGACUUCUUUUGAAUUUUGCGUUGGAGUUUUCCCCCACUUUUCAAGAAAUUAUAUUUUUUUUAUUCUUUUCUCUUUUUUGGGGGAUUUUGCUCUUUUCGAAGUCAUUUUUUAUUUUUUGUUCAUCUGAUAACAUAUUCUUUGUCUUUUGCGUCUUCGAUCUUGAAUCUUCGUUCGUAAUUUGCACGUAUUUAAUGCGCUCAAGGAGGUAGGGCAAAGAGAGGGAUAGUGCAUGUAAGCACUCAGAAAGGUAUAGUCUUAGAUGCGGUUGUCCAAAUAAAAGGUCUUAGGCUAAAAAAGGGGAAUGCUAGGGAUUAAUGUCAUUUGGUGGGCUAUGAAAGGCUCAAUCGGGUCAAAAAAGGCCUACGGUCCUUUUCUAAACUAAGUGCAACUCAGAAUUUUGCUUCAACAGACAUCAAAGUCAAGUUCUAGAUCAACAAUGUAAUGCAAUAAAUUAAGCUAAAGCUCGCCACACAAUGCACAUGAAACAAUGAGGUUGGCUUCGUUUUUGUCUUAAAUGUAUGCAAGAGAAUUUUCAAGUGUUACUUAGAUGUGAUAAAAGGUACCAAAAGAACCUAUGGCUUACCAUAAAGUCUACUCCUCCUACCAUAUCAAUCUGCUCUUUCUCAUGCACACUCCUAACUGUAGAUAUCAACUAAGUCAAAAUUUUAUUUUAUUUUUUUAAAAAAGAAUGGGAUCGAACCCAAAUAAGGGUUGCCUACGUAUCUUAUGAAAACAAGAAUCAGGUCUGCGUAGUUCAGGCAAAUUUGUGAAUUAGUAUGCGCCAUGUAUGAUAAGAAAAUAAUGGUCAUUAAUAAAAAUAAUGUGAAAGACGAUCAGGAAAGAACUGCUGGAAAGAACUGCUUUUAGCAUCAAAAUUAUUCUGAUCAAAUGAUCGAAAGAAUGGAUGUAAAGCAUGAGAAGAGCUUGGACACAACUUCAGUAUGCUGACAAAAUUAAAAAGCUGAAUAUUGAAGGAAUUAUGAUGUUAUUUUAUCGUAGUUGGCAGAAUUAUUAUAAUUGAAAAAUAUUAAAUUCUUGCUUUAGAGAGUGGGGAUCAAUACGUCAUAAAUUUAAUGGUUCACGACGUUCGAAAAAAGAAACUAGGUAAAAUUGAGUAAAGAUCUGAAGAUAGGCCGGCUAGGCACUAAUGUCAAUGAGAUUUGAAUUUUGAGGAGCUAUUAAAUUGCGCUCUUGAAGGCUUUUUGAGAGCGUCUUUGAACUGUUUCAGAAAAUUGCCCCAAUUUGAAUACCGGAGAAAUUAUUCUGAAAUAGUGAAGAGCCCGAACCCUAAUGCAGGGUUGCCUACGUAUUUUGUCAAGACAAGAAUCAGGUCAAAACGUAGUUCAAACGUAUACGCAAUUAUUGACAAUGUUACCAAGGUGCAUCUUUUAACUAAUUCGCACUGCAAAACAAAGGUUAAAUUACAUCUUCUCACUAAAGUAUAACCAAUUAAUAGUAAAUAGGCAUAAUUAUUCGUUAAAUAUGUACAGAAACUAUGAUAGUGUGUUACUUUGGGUCGUAAACCCUUCGGACAUUUGGAUAAAACUAACUAACAAUGCAUGUACCUAAAAAAAUGUUAUUUUAGCUCUAUUCUAUGCUAACUAAGAGUGGGUAAACAAGGACUUGGAUUUCCUAUAUGACAAGGUACAUAGUCCCACGAUAGUAAAACUCCCGCUUACCCCACAUAUACGCCAACUCUCUAAAAUAAGGUGAUUUAAAUUUUUUUUGAGAAAGUACAAUCCACGUGUACAAUGUGUGCUAGUGUCAGUUUUCCAAAAUGGAGAAAAUAUGAGCGGAAUGAUAAUUUAUAUAAAGCAAUAAACAAUCUAUAAACAAAUAAAUAAUUUAAGCCAUAUAAACAUGAUAAAUCAAGACAAUUAGUAUGAAACAAAUAACAAUGUAUAAAAACAUAAAUAAUUACCUAAAUUUGUAAUGGUUAAAACUUUGUAUUUCCCAGUAGAGUCGCCAAACUGUCAUACCCUAUUUUUACCUAAGGUCAAAACGAGCAUGACAUUAUGGACUCUAAAAGAAUAAAUUUUGUACAGAGUCGCCACCUAAUUUUUAAAGAAAAUGAGGAAACCUAUUUAAUUAUUAGCAAUUAUGACUUUAUUUUAAUCUGUAAAAUCAAUUUAGAUUCAAGAUAAGGGUUCAAAUUAUUUCGAAGGGAAGGUAUUAGGCACCCUUCAGAAUCCACAAAUGUAGUUCCCGAUUAGACUUAGAUUUUUUAUGAGGCGAAGGAAAAAAUCAAUGCUUAUAAAUAAAAUUCAAAAUAUACAUUAAAAUAAUAUAAACUAUUUGCAUAUAAAGAAUGUAUAAAUUACAUAAAUUAUUGUAUAUAAAAAAUGUGUGAAGAUGAUCAAAAGUAUAUAAGAAUAUGUAUAAAAAGAAAAGAAAAAUUGAAUAAAGAAAAAUUUAUUUUAAAUAAAAAGAUUAUGCAAUAUUUUCAAAUGUAUAAGUAUGAAUUAAUUGAUUAAAUAUCUAAAUUAAUUUAUUUUUUUUAUAAAUAUUAACGACCUAAAUUUGUCUAAAUACGCGGUAAAGAUUGUAUAAGUUAAAACAUUCCCGCCCAAUGCCUCCAAAAUAAAGUUUUCACUAUGAUAAUAUUUGUACAAAUAUAAAAAUAUAAUGCAAAAUUUAAAAUCUUCCUUGAAUGUCACUCCCGAUGAAUUUUUUCAAUAACCUGUAUAAACAAACACUUACAAUAAAAAUGUUAGUAACAAAUAAAUAAUUAUUAAAAAAUUAAGAAGAUGUGUGUACAUAUAUGUAUAAAAACUAGAAUUUUUCAGUAAAAAAUAUAGGCUCGGAUCAAAUUUUAAGUACGUCAUGAAAUAUGGGCUCAGACCAAAUUUUAGUUACGUCAUGUCUACGAAAUGAUUGCUUAAUUUAUUAACCGUCCUAAAUCGUCUUGCCAAGAUAUAAAUCAUAAAACUUUUGCGUUGUUAUAAAAAUUUUGUCAUCGCUCAAUUCAUUUAUUUUAUUACAUAUUUAUAUACAUAAUAUCCAUCUUUUUAUUUGUGCAAGCCUAAAAAAUCGACGAAAAAUUUCUUCAUUGAUCAACUAGCGUAGUAUUUUAUUCAUUAUCAAUAUAACCUCAAAGUCAGUAAAUAAAAAGGAUGAAAUCCUCCAAAUUUAAUUCCUAAAGAAUGCGACCCAGUAGCAGAAUACAUCAAAAAUUAUGCCUCAUCAGUCCAAAAUAAUGCUGAUAAAAAGCAAAAUAAACUAAAUGCAUUAGCAGUAGGCAACUCAGAAAACAACAACAAACAUUUAGUGCACUUAGUAGAUCAUCAAAGCACUACUCUUUCCGAAAAUAAAUCAAAAUACAAGAAAUAAACUAUAACCAACCAAAUCAGGGUAACAAGAUAUGCAAUAGCGCAUAAAGCAGUAGAAACUCAAUUCAAGGGAGUGUUUUUUCGACGAACAACAAUAAUAAACGGAGAAGGAAGUGGCGUUGCUUCCACGGCUUUGGCCGGAGCAACGCCAUAUGUACAAAGCUCCGGUCAGAUCGGGCCCAAAAAUGGUACAACAACAAUGAGGGAGAGCAGCGGGUGGUGGAGGAAGAUCUGAGGUUGAACUCCGGUGGUUCCACAUUAGGCCGGAGAAGAUAGAAGAAAAAAUUGGGGUAUGUUGGUGUGGUUGCCGGAGCUGUUUGGGGAUGGAGAAAGGAGGAAGAGAGUGGUGGUUUGUGGUGGCUGGUCGGCGCGCUGGUGAAUGUUUCGCCGGCGUUGGUGGCGCGUGGUAGUGCGACGCGGUUGGAGAGCGGGGAAAAGAAGAGGGAAAUGGGAGAAGGGGGCUGGUUGGUGGAGGUUGCCGGAGCUCCAGCGGUAAAGGGCAGCAAGGAGAAGGGGGAAAAGGAGAAGAAAAACGUGAGUUAAGAGAGAGAAUGGCGUAUGGGAUCUGAUAUUUGUGUGUGCGUAUUGUGUGUGUAUAUUGUGUAUUUUUAUUUUUUCUCAAAACUAAUAAAUCCCCCUCCCAUUCUUUUAUACUCCCUCCGUUUCACAAAAAUAAGUGAAUUAUUGGAGUAAUUUUAAUGUUUCAAAAUAAGUGAAUGAUUUACAAUUCAAGAUAGAUGUUGAAUUUCUUUUUCAAAUUUAUCCUUCAUUAAAUGUGCAUUGAAAAUGAUGUAUCAUGUGCCUUUAUUUUUUGAAUAAGGUAAAAAAU
rnacentral:lncRNA from 1 species